rnacentral:lncRNA from 1 species
GUUGUAACACCCUCGAUGCGACUAUAUCUCCCACGUGUCGAGGCACGACUUAGAGGCAUAAUCGCAUUGAAGGCAAUGUCGCAAGUGAGGUAAUCUUCACACAACCCAUGUAAUAUAAUAGGGGAAAAAGUUACAUAGUUGGCUUACACUCGCCACUUCACACAAUUACAUGAAUAAAACAUUACAUCAACCAAGUACAAUCAGGGCCCGACUACGGAGCCAAAAUAAAAGAAGAACCCCAAAUGCGACAAAGAUCCCCGAUCGACCCCAACUGGGCUCCACUACUGAUCAACUAGAACGAAACAACACAAAUGAACAAGGUCUUCAUCGAGCUCCUCCCGAGCUUGGUUGCGUCAUCUGGACGGUCUCAUCGGCACCUGCAAACUGGUUUUGGAAGUAUCUGUGAGCCACAGGGACUCAGCAAUCUCGCACCCUCGCGAUCAAGACUAUUUAAGCUUAUGGGUAAGGUGAAGGUAUGAGGUGGAGCUGCAGCAAGCGACUAACAUAUAUGGUGGCUAACCUAUUCGCAAAAGAGAGCGAGAAGAGAAGGCAAAGCACGGUCGAUAAAAGUAUGAUCAAGAAGUGAUCCUGGACUACCUACGCCAAGCAUAACUCCAACAACCGUGUUCACUUCCCGGACUCCGCCGGAAAGAGACCAUCACGGUUACACACGCUGUUGAUUCAUUUUAAUUAAGGUCAACUUUAGGUUUUCUACAACCGGACGUUAACAAAUUCCCAUCUGCCCAUAACCACGGGCACGGCUUUCGAAAGAUCAAAUCCAUGCAGGGUGUCCCAACUUAGCCCAUGACAAGCUCUCACGGUCAACGAAGGAAUAGACCUCCACCCGAGAUAUUCCGAUCAAACUCGGUAUCCCAGUACAACAAGACAUUUCGACAGGGUAAAACUAAACCAGCAACACCGCCCGAUGCGCCGACAUCCUGAUAGGAGCUGCACAUAUCUCGUUCUCAGGGCAACACCGGAUGAACACUACGUACAGCUAAAACCAGCCCUCAAGUUUCCCCGAGGUGGCGCCGCAAGUGGCUCUAGUUUGGACCAACGCUUAGACAAGCACUGGCCCGGGGGGUUAAAAUAAAGAUGACCCUCGGGAUGCGCGACUCCCAAGGGAAAAAGGCUAGGUGGCAAAUGGUAAAACCAAUGUUGGGCAUUGCUGGCAAAGCUUUACUUAAGGCGAAGUGUCAAGGGGUUCCCAUUAUAGCCCAACCGCGUAAGGGACGCAAAAUCCGGGAACAUAACACCGAUAAGACGGAAACUAGGGCGGCAAGAGUGGAACAAAACACCAGGCAUAAGGCCGAGCCUUCCACCCUUUACCAAGUAUAUAGAUGCAUUAAUUAAAUACGAUAUAUAGUGAUAUCCCAACAAGUAAAACAUGUUCCAACAAGGAACAACAUCUCCAUGUUCCAACAAGGAACAAUCUUCAAACUUCACCUGCAACUAACAACGCUAUAAGAGGGGCGGAGCAAAGCGGUAACAUAGCCAAUCAACGGUUUGCUAGGACAUGGUGGGUUAGGGGCUGAACAUGGCAAUUUGGGAGGCUGACAAGCAAGUGGUAGGCAUCGUAGCAAUGGCAUAGCAAAAGAGCGAGCAAACUAGCAUAGCAAAGAUAGUAGUGAUUUCGAGGGUAUGAUCAUCUUGCCUGAAAUCUCGCAAGGAAGAAGAACGAGUCCAUGAAGAAGACAAACGGACGAAGAUGAACGGGUCCUCACAAACUCGACGUUAUCGGAAUCAACCCGAAGAAGCAAUCACCGGAAAAGAAGCACACAACAUAGUAAACAACCAACACAUCAACAUGGCAUGAUGCACAAACGAGUAUGAUGCAUGUCCGGUUUAAAGAGGCAUGGCAUGGCAAAAUGCACAAGCAAUCCUACAAAUUAAGUGGAGCUCAAUAUGCAACGAGUUGCAUAUUGACGAAACACCACAUCAAUUAUUUAGUUCUCUCUCGUUUAUGUACCCAACAAUAUUAAAUGUUGAUUAACAUGGCAAGAGGUGAAACAUGAUGAAACUAUCUAAUCUAGGCAUGUUUAAAUGAGCCGGAACAACAAAACAACAAGUCCGGAAAAUCCCCAUGUGCAAAUAUUAGGUUUGGUCCUGAUCUGUCCUAAACACAAUUUUAGAGUUGUUUAACAUGCAAAGUAAGGUCACCAUGAUAAACUAGGCAAAAUUCUACCCCAUUUACAUAUAAAGUUUAUUAAAUUCCGAGUUACGGUUAUUAAGUUAUGAAUAAAAUCAUUUUAGCAUGACAUAGAGCAAAAUUAAUGCAAACAACAUUUUAGACAUUUUAACAUGGCAAGAAAGUGGCAUAUUAUUAAUCUACACAAAAUUCUGAGCAAGUUUCAUUUAUAAAGCAUUUUAAUCCGAUGCACGGUUAAUUAGUUAUUAAAUGCAUGAAGACUAGGGGCUUUUCUGUAAAUCUGCAAAUCCCUGUAAAUAGAUAAAUCGCUGAACAGGAAAAAAAAACGAGUCAUGGGAUGAUUCUGAAACAGGGCAGGCGGUGGGGGCUCUCUCACCACGGGCUUCGGCCCGGUAGCAGGAGGAGGAGGCAGGCCGGCGAUGCUGGGUCUCGGAUCUGGUUGGCGGCCCAGCAGAGAGGAGGGACUGGCGCUGGGCCUGGUGGAGCUGGGCCGGAUCGGGCGAAGGGGAGGCGGCCCGCGCGAGAGGGAUCUCGUCCCCGACCUCCCGCCGAGGCCGAGGCGAGCCAUGGUGGCGGCGGCAGGGUCCGGUGGUGGCCUGAGGCGGCGGGGCGAGGCGACACCGGCAGGAAUGGACAGAUCGGGAACUAGGGAAGCUGGAUCCGGUGUCGAGGGUGGUCGACGGCGCUCGGGGAUGCGGGAUCCGGCAGGGCGGAGCUCUCAUGGCGGCGCAAGUCGACGGGGCUUGGCAGGGAGCAAGGUGGUGCGGCCGGGAGGCCAGCGCGGAAGGAGGCGGUGCCUCUCCAGCGAAGUCCGGUAGGGGAGGCGGCGAUGCGGGCUCUGGAUCGGGGCUCCUCCCGAUCUGGAGCUCGGGGAGCAGGGGUGGCGCGAUGCGGCCUCAGGGCCCAGAUCGGGGCCCGGGCGGCCUGGAGCGGGCCUGGCGGCGCGGGGCGAUGGGAGGAGGCGGUGGGGCGACGUGGCAGCGCCCGGUUGGGCAGGGCGACGCCUCAGGUGGCGGCUGGCCUCUUGGCAGCGCCCCAAGUGGCGACGGGGAGGUGGCUGCGCGCGGAAAUCAAGGAGAAGGAGGUGGGAGGCGGCUGGGAAAUGAUUGGGGCACUGAGAUUUAGGAGGAGGGGUAGGUAGCUGCCCAAAAUGGAAGGGGGAAGGUUUAUAUAGGGCAGGUUUUAGGGUUAGGGGGGUUUCGCUCCGUUUCUGGAUCCUCCGAUCGCAAACGAACGGCCCCGGUCAAAGGGGAAAACUAGAUGGGGUUUGUGGGCUGUGUAGGAGGGUUAGGCUGGGAGGAGAGGGGAGAGAUGCAGCCCGGCACAGUUUCCGGAGACCGAAAACCUGCGACGAAAAGACCGGCUACUAUUGCCGCUAUAUUUAAUCAUUGGGGCAUCAAACGAACUCCGAUUGCGAUGAAACUUGACAGGAGGUCUAUCUACACUAUAAUAAGACCACACGUCAAAUCUCAUCCCAUUCCGAGAACAUUUUCUGGCCACUUAUAAAAUACUAUCUCGGACAUGCCGCGGGCGCGUGCAAGUGUGUCUCGUCUCAGAAUGGACAACGGAGAGAACGAGGAGGCCGGGACGGAUGCAAGUUUUGAAAACAUGAUGACGCAAUGCACAUGAUGACAUGAUGAAAUGCAACACGCAAGCAAAUGACAUGGCAACGACGGCGAAUAACUGCACGACACCUGGCACAUCGGUCUCGGGGCGUUACACUAGUGAUCUUGUCAACCAUCAACACUUGAUGUUUUUCUUGAUUUCUACCUUCGUUUAUUUCAGCAUCACGAAGAGCUUGGGAGUUGUUUCCGCUAUCCCUUGCUUAUUAUAGUUCAUCACGAAGUUCUACUAACUUGGUGAUGGUGACUAGAGAAUUCUGUCAAUCACUAUCUUAUCUGGAAGAUUGACUCCCACUUGAUUCAAGCGAUUGUAGUACCCAGACAAUCUGAGCACAUGCUCACUAGUUGAGCGAUUCUCCUCCAUCUUUUAGCUAUAGAACUUGUUGGAGAUUUCAUAUCUCUCAACUCGGGUAUUUUCUUGAAAUAUUAACUUCAACUCCUGGAACAUCUCAUAUGGUCCAUGACGUUCAAAACGUCUUUAAAGUCCCGAUUCUAAGCCACUAAGCAUGAUGCACUAAACUAUCAAGUAGUCAUUUUUGGGGAACGUAGUAAUUUCAAAAAAUUUCCUACGCACACGCAAGAUCAUGGUGAUGCAUAGCAACGAGAGGGGAGAGUGUUGUCUACGUACCAACGCAGACCGACUGCGGAAGCGAUCACACAACGUAGAGGAAGUAGUCGUACGUCUUCUUUCCGAUCCGACCGAUCCAAGCACCGUUACUCCGGCACCUCCGAGUUCUUAGCACACGUACAGCUCGAUGACGAUCCCCGGGCUCCGAUCCAGCAAAGCUUCGGGGAGGAGUUCCGUCAGCACGACGGCGUGGUGACGAUCUUGAUGUUCUGCCGACGCAGGGCUUCGCCUAAGCACUACAACGGUAUGACCGAGGUGGAAUAUGGUGGCAGGGGCACUGCACACGGCUAAGGGACGAUCUCAAGGAUCAACUUGUGUGUCUAUGGGGUGCCCCUUGCCUCAGUAUAUAAAGGAUGGAGGAGGAGGAGGCCGGCCAAGGCAUAAGGUGCGGCCAGGAUGGGAGUCCUACUAGGACUCCAAGUCCUAGUAGGAGUCCAUCAAGAGGGGAGGAAGGGAGAAGGAAGUGGAGGAGUAGGAAAGGUGGCCGGCCCCCUUUUCCCUAGUCCAAUUCGGACUAGAGGGGAGGGGGGGCGCAGCAGGCCUUUUCUCCUCUUCCCACUAAAGCCCAUCAAGGCCCAAUACUUCUCCCAGCGAAUUCCCGUCACUCUCCGGUACUCCGAAAAAUACCCGAAUCACUCGGAACCUUUCCGAAGUCCGAAUAUAGUCGUCCAAUAUAUCGAUCUUUACGUCUCGACCAUUUCGAGACUCCUCGUCAUGUCCCCGAUCUCAUCCGGGACUCUGAACUCCUUCGGUACAUCAAAACUCAUAAACUCAUAAUAUAACUGUCAUCGAAACCUUAAGCGUGCGGACCCUACGGUUCGAGAACAAUGUAGACAUGACCGAGACACGUCUCCGGUCAAUAACCAAUAGCGGGACCUGGAUGCCCAUAUUGGCUCCUACAUAUUCUACGAAGAUCUUUAUCGGUCAAACCGCAUAACAACAUACGUUGUUCCCUUUGUCAUCGGUAUGUUACUUGCCCGAGAUUCGAUCGUCGGUAUCCAAUACCUAGUUCAAUCUCGUUACCGGCAAGUCUCUUUACUCAUUCCGUAAUACAUUAUCUCGCAACUAACUCAUUAAUUGCAAUGCUUGCAAGGCUUAUGUGAUGUGCAUUACCGAGAGGGCCCAGAGAUACCUCUCCGACAAUCGAAGUGACAAAUCCUAAUCUCGAAAUACGCCAACCCAACAUCGACCUUUGGAGACACCUGUAAUGCUCCUUUAUAAUCACCCAGUUACGUUGUGACGUUUGGUAGCACCCAAAGUGUUCCUCCGGCAAACGGGAGUUGCAUAAUCUCAUAGUCAUAGGAACAUGUAUAAGUCAUGAAGAAAGCAAUAGCAACAUACUAAACGAUCGUGUGCUAAGCUAAUGGAAUGGGUAAUGUCAAUCAGUUCAUUCAACUAAUGAUGUGAUCUCGUUAAUCAAAUAACAACUCUUUUGUCCAUGGUUAGGAAACAUAAUCAUCUUUGAUUAACGAGCUAGUCAAGUAGAGGCAUACUAGUGACACUCUGUUUGUCUAUGUAUUCACACAUGUAUUAUGUUUCCGGUUAAUACAAUUCUAGCAUGAAUAAUAGACAUUUAUCAUGAUAUAAGGAAAUAAAUAAUAACUUUAUUAUUGCCUCUAGGGCAUAUUUCCUUCAGUCUCCCACUUGCACUAGAGUCAAUAAUCUAGAUCACAUCACCAUGUGAUUAACAUCGAUAGUUCACAUCAUCAUGUGAUUAACACCCAUAGUUCACAUCGUCAUGUGACCAACACUCAAAGGGUUUACUAGAGUCAGUAAUCUAGUUCACAUCUCUAUGUGAUUAACACCCAAAGAGUACUAAGGUGUGAUCAUGUUUUGCUUGUGAGAUAAUUUUAGUCAACGGGUCUGUCACAUUCAGAUUCGUAAGUAUUUUGCAAGUUCUAUGUCUACAAUGCUCUACAUGGAGCUACUCUAGCUAAUUGCUCCCACUUUCAAUAUGUAUCCAGAUUGAGACUUAGAAUCAUCUGGAUCAGUGUCAAAAACUUGCAUCGACGUAACCCUUUACGAUGAACCUUUUUGUCACGUCCAUAAUCGAGAAACAUAUCCUUAUUUCACUAAGGAUAAUUCUGACCGCUGUCUAGUGAUCUACUCCUAGAUCACUAUUGUACUCCCUUGCCAAAUCAGUGCAGGGUAUACAAUAGAUCUGGUAUACAGCAUGACAUACUUUAUAGAACCUAUGGCCAAGGCAUAGGGAAUGACUUUCAUUCUCUUUCUAUCUUCUGCCGUGGUCGGGCUUUGAGUCUUACUCAACUUCACACCUUAUAAUACAGGCAAGAACUCUUUCUUUGACUGCUCCAUUUUGAACUACUUCAAAAUCUUGUCAAGGUAUGUACUCAUUGAAAAUACUUAUCUAGCGUCUUGAUCUAUCUCUAUAGAUCUUGAAGCUCAAUAUGUAAGCAGCUUCACCGAAGUCUUUCUUUGAAAAACUCCUUUCAAACACUCCUUUAUGCUUUACAGAAUAAUUCUACAUUAUUUCCGAUCAACAAUAUGUCAUUCACAUAUACUUAUCAGAAAUGUUGUAGUGCUCCCACUCAGUUUCUUGUAAAUACAGGCUUCACCGCAAGUCUGUAUAAAACUAUAUGCUUUGAUCAACUCAUCAAGGCGUAUAUUCCAACUCCGAGAUGCUUGCACCAGUCCACAGAUGGAUCGCUGGAGCUUGCACAUUUUGUUAGCACCUUUCGGAUUGACAAAACCUUCUGUUGCAUCAUAUACAACUCUUCUUUAAUAAAUCCAUUAAGGAAUGCAGUUUUGUUUAUCCAUUUGCCAGAUUUCAUAAAAUGCGGCAAGUACUAACAUGAUUCGGACAGACUCAAGCAUAGAUACGAGUGAGAAGCUCUCGUCGUAGUCAACACCUUGAACUUGUCGAAAACCUUUUGCGACAAUUCUAGCUUUGUAGAUAGUAACACUACUAUCAACGUCCGUCUUCCUCUUGAAGAUCCAUUUAUUCUCAAUUGCUUGCCGUUCAUCGGGCAAGUCAACCAAAGUCCAAACUUUGUUCUCAUACAUGGAUCAUAUCUCAGAUUUCAUGGCCUCAAACCAUUUCGCGGAAUCUAGGCUCAUCAUCGCUUCCUCAUAGUUCGUAGGUUCGUCAUGGUCAAGUAACAUGACCUCCAGAACAGGAUUACCGUACCACUCUGGUGCGGAUCUCACUCUGGUUUACCUACAAGAUUCGGUAGUAAUUUGAUCUGAAGUUACAUGAUCAUCAUCAUUAGCUUCCUCACUAAUUGGUGUAGUAGUCACAAGAACAGAUUUUUGUGAUGAACUACUUUCCAAUAAGGUAGAAGGUACAAUUACCUUAUCAAGUUUUCUACUUUCCUCCCACUUAGUUCUUUCAAGAGAAACUCCUUCUCUAGAAAGGAUCCAUUAUAAGCAACGAAUGUCUUGCCUUAGGAUCUGUGAUAGAAGGUGUACCCAACAGUCUCCUUUGGGUAUCCUAUGAAGACAUAUUUCUCCGAUUUGGGUUUGAGCUUAUCAGGAUGAAUUUUUUUUCUCAUAAGCAUCGCAACCCCAAACUUCAAGAAACGACAACUUUGGUUUCUUGCCAAACCAUAGUUCAUAAGGCAUCGUCUCAACGGAUAUAGAUGGUGCCCCUUUUUUUUAACGUGAAUGCAACUGUCUCUAAUGCAUGACCCCAAAAAUGAUAGUGGUAAAUCGGUAAGAUACAUCAUAGAUUGCACUAUAUCCAAUAAAGUACGGUUAUGAUGUUCGGACACACCAUUAUGCUGUGGUGUUCCAGGUGGCGUGAGUAGUGAAACUAUUUCACAUUGUUUUAACUGAAGACCAAACUCGUAACUCAAAUACUCUUUUCCACGAUCAGAUCGUAGAAACUUUAUUUUCUUGUUACGAUGAUUUUCCACUUCACUCUGAAAUUAUAUGAACUUUUCAAAUGUAUCAGACUUCUAUUUCAUUAAGUAGAUAUACCCAUAUCUGCUCAACUCAUCUGUGAAGGUCAGAAAAUAAUGAUACCCGCUGCAAGCCUUAAAUAUUCAUAGGACCACAUACAUCAGUAUGUAUGAUUUCCAACAAAUCUGUUGCUUGCUCCAUUGUUCCGGAGAACGGCGUUUUAGUCAUCUUGCCCAAAAGGCAUGGUUCGCAAGCAUCAAGUGAUUCAUAAUCAAGUGAUUCCGAAAGCCCAUCAGCAUGGAGUUUCUUCAUGCGCUUUAUACCAAUAUGACCUAAACGGCAGUGCCACAAAUAAGUUGCACUAUCAUUAUUAACUUUGCAUCUUUUGGUUUCAAUAUUAUGAAUAUGUGUAUCACUACGAUUGAGAUCCAACGAACUUGUUUCAUUGGUGUAUGACCAUCGAAGGUUUUAUUCAUGUAAACAGAACAACAAUUAUUCUCUGACUUUAAUGAAUAACCGUAUUGCAAUAAACAUGAUCAAAUCAUAUUCAUGCUCAACGCAAAAACCAAAUAACACUUAUUUAAGUUCAACACUAAUCCCGAAAGUAUAGGGGAGUGUGCGAUGAUGAUCAUAUCAAUCUUGGAACUACUUCCAACACACAUCGUCACUUCACCCUUAACUAGUCUCUGUUUAUUCUGCAACUCCUAUUUCGAGUUACUACUCUUAGCAACUGAACCAAUAUCAAAUACUGAGGGGUUGCUAUAAACACUAGUAAAGCACACAUCAAUAACAUGUAUAUCAAAUAUACUUUUGUUCACUUUGCCAUCCUUCUUAUCCGCCAAAUACUUGGGGCAGUUCCGCUUCCAGUGACCAGUCCCUUUGCAGUAGAAGCACUUAGUCUCAGGCUUAGGACCAGACUUGGGCUUCUUCACUUGAGCAGCAACUUGCUUGCCGUUCUUUUUGAAGUUCCCUUCUUCCCUUUUGCACUUUUCUUCAAACUAGUGGUCUUGUCAACCAUCAACACUUGAUGUUUUUCUUGAUUUCUACCUUCAUCGAUUUCAGCAUCACGAAGAGCUUGGGAAUCGUUUCCGUUAUCCCUUGCAUAUCAUAGUUCAUCACGAAGUUCUACUAACUUGGUGAUGGUGACUAGAGAAUUCUGUCAAUCACUAUCUUAUCUGGAAGAUUAACUCCCACUUGAUUCAAGCGAUUGUAGUACCCAGACAAUCUGAGCACAUGCUCACUAGUUGAGCGAUUCUCCUUCAUCUUUUAGCUAUAGAACUUGUUGGAGACUUCAUAUCUCUCAACUCGGGUAUUUGCUUGAAAUAUUAACUUCAACUCCUGGAACAUCUCAUAUGGUCCAUGACGUUCAAAACGUCUUUGAAGUCCCGAUUCUAAGCCAUUAAGCAUGGUGCACUAAACUAUCAAGUAGUCAUCAUAUUGAGCUAGCCAAACGUUCAUAACGUCUGCAUCUGCUCCUGCAAUAGGUUUGUCACCUAGCGGUGCAUCAAGGACAUAAUUUUUCUGUGCAGCAAUGAGGAUAAACCUCAGAUCACGGAUCCAAUCCGUAUCAUUGCUACUAACAUCUUUCAACACAAUUUUCUCUAGGAACAUAUCAAAAUAAACAUAUGAAAGCAACAACGCGAGCUGUUGAUCUUCAACAUAGAUAUGCUAAUACUACCAGGACUAAGUUCAUGAUAAAUUAAAGUUCAAUUAAUCAUAUUACUUAAGAACUCCCACUUAGAUAGACAUCCCUCUAAUCCUCUAAGUGAUCACGUGAUCCAAAUCAACUAAACCAUAACCGAUCAUCACGUGAGAUGGAGUAUUUUUCAAUGGUGAACAUCGUUAUGUUGAUCAUAUCUACUAUAUGAUUCACGCUCGACCUUUCGGUCUCUGUGUUCCGAGGCCAUAUCUGCAUAUGCUAGGCUCGUCAAGUUUAACCUGAGUAUUCUGCGUGUGCAAAACUGGCUUGCACCCGUUGUAGAUGGACGUAGAGCUUAUCACACCCGAUCAUCACGUGGUGUCUGGGCACGACGAACUUUGGCAACGGUGCAUACUUAGGGAGAACACUUCAUGAUAAUUUAGUGAGCGAUCAUCUUAUAAUGCUACCGUCAAUCAAAGCAAGAUAAGAUGCAUAAAAGGAUAAACAUCACAUGCAAUCAAUAUAAGUGAUAUGAUAUGGCCAUCAUCAUCUUGUGCUUGUGAUCUCCAUCUCCGAAGCACCGUCAUGAUCACCAUCGUCACCGACGCGACACCUUGAUCUCCAUCGUAGCAUCGUUGUCGUCUCGCCAAUCUUAUGCUUCCACGACUAUCACUACCGCUUAGUAAUAAAGUAAAGCAUUACAUCGCGAUUGCAUUGCAUACAAUAAAGCGACAACCAUAUGGCUCCUGCCAGUUGCCGAUAACUUGGUUACAAAACAUGAUCAUCUCAUACAAUAAAAUCAGCAUCAUGCCUUGACCAUAUCACAUCACAACAUGCCCUGCAAAAACAAGUUAGACAUCCUCUACUUUGUUGUUGCAAGUUUUACGUGACUGCUACGGGCUUAAGUAAGAAGUCAUCUCACCUACGCAUCAAAACCACAACGAUAGUUCGUCAAAUAGACUCCGUUUUAACCUUCUCAAGGACCGGGCGUAGCCAUACUCGGUUCAACUAAAGUUGGAGAGACAGUCGCCCGCAAGCCAUCUAUGUGCUAAGCACGUCGAGGGAAUCGGUCUCGCGUAAGCGUACGCGUAAGGUUGGUCCGGGUCGUCUCGUCCAACAAUACCGCCGAACCAAAGUAUGACAUGCUGGUAGGCAGUAUGACUUGUAUCGCCCACAACUCACUUGUGUUCUACUCGUGCAAAUAACAUCAAACCAUAAAACCUAGGCUCGGAUGCCACUGUUGGGGAACGUAGUAAUUUCAAAACAUUUCUUACGCACACGCAAGAUCAUGGUGAUGCAUAGCAACGAGAGGGGAGAUUGUUGUCUACGUACCAACGCAGACCGACUGCGGAAGCGAUCACACAACAUAGAGGAAGUAGUCGUACGUCUUCUUUCCGAUCCGACCGAUCCAAGCACCGUUACUCCGGCACCUCCGAGUUCUUAGCACACGUACAGCUCGAUGACGAUCCCCGGGCAUCGAUCCAGCAAAGCUUUGGGGAGGAGUUCCGUCAGCACGACGGCGUGGUGACGAUCUUGAUGUUCUACCGACGCAGGGCUUCGCCUAAGCACUACAACGGUAUGACCGAGGUGGAAUAUGGUGGCAGGGGCAUCGCACACGGCUAAGGGACGAUCUCAAGGAUCAACUUGUGUGUCUAUGGGGUGCCCCUUGCCUCAGUAUAUAAAGGAUGGAGGAGGAGGAGGCCGGCCAAGGCAUAAGGUGCGGCCAGGAUGGGAGUCCUACUAGGACUCCAAGUCCUAGUAGGAGUCCAUCAAGAGGGGAGGAAGGGAGAAGGAAGUGGAGGAGUAGGAAAGGUGGCCGGCCCCUUUUCCCUAGUCCAAUUCGGACUAGAGGGGAGGGGGGCGCAGCAGGCCUUUUCUCCUCUUCCCACUAAAGCCCAUCAAGGCCCAAUACUUCUCCCAGCGAAUUCCCGUAACUCUCCGGUAGUCCGAAAAAUACCCGAAUCACUCGGAACCUUUCCGAAGUCCGAAUAUAGUCGUCCAAUAUAUCGAUCUUUACGUCUCGACCAUUUCGAGACUCCUCGUCAUGUCCCCGAUCUCAUCCGGGACUCCGAACUCCUUCGGUACAUCAAAACUCAUAAACUCAUAAUAUAACUGUCAUCGAAACCUUAAGCGUGCGGACCCUACGGUUCGAGAACAAUGUAGACAUGACCGAGACACGUCUCCGGUCAAUAACCAAUAGCGGGACCUGGAUGCCCAUAUUGGCUCCUACAUAUUCUACGAAGAUCUUUAUCGGUCAAACCGCAUAACAACAUACGUUGUUCCCUUUGUCAUAGGUAUGUUACUUGCCCGAGAUUCAAUCGUCGGUAUCCAAUACCUAGUUCAAUCUCGUUACCGGCAAGUCUCUUUACUCGUUCCGUAAUACAUCAUCUUGCAACUAACUCAUUAAUUGCAAUGCUUGCAAGGCUUAUGUGAUGUGCAUUACCGAGAGGGCCUAGAGAUACCUCUCCGACAAUCGGAGUGACAAAUCCUAAUCUCGAAAUACGCCAACCCAACAUCGACCUUUGGAGACACCUGUAAUGCUCCUUUAUAAUCACCCAGUUACGUUGUGACGUUUGGUAGCAGCCAAAGUGUUCCUCCGGCAAACGGGAGUUGCAUAAUCUCAUAGUCAUAGGAACAUGUAUAAGUCAUGAAGAAAGCAAUAGCAACAUACUAAACGAUCGUGUGCUAAGCUAAUGGAAUGGGUCAUGUCAAUCAGAUCAUUCAACUAAUGAUGUGAUCUCGUUAAUCAAAUAACAACUCUUUUGUCCAUGGUUAGGAAACAUAAUCAUCUUUGAUUAACGAGCUAGUCAAGUAGAGGCAUACUAGUGACACUCUGUUUGUCUAUGUAUUCACACAUGUAUUAUGUUUCCGGUUAAUACAAUUUUAGCAUGAAUAAUAAACAUUUAUCAUGAUAUAAGGAAAUAAAUAAUAACUUUAUUAUUGCCUCUAGGGCAUAUUUCCUUCAGUCAUCAUAUUGAGCUAGCCAAACGUUCAUAACGUCUACAUCUGCUCCUGCAAUAGGUCUGUCACCUAGCGGUGCAUCAAGGACAUAAUUCUUCUGUGCGGCAAUGAGGAUAAACCUCAGAUCACGGAUCCAAUCUGCAUCAUUGCUACUAACAUCUUUCAACACAAUUUCCUCUAGGAACAUAUCAAAACAAACACAGGGAAGUAACAACGCGAGCUAUCGAUCUACAACAUAAUUUGCAAAAUACUACCAGGACUAAGUUCAUGAUAAAUUUAAGUUCAAUUUAAUCAUAUUACUUUAAGAACUCCCACUUAGAUAGACAUCCCUCUAAUCCUCUAAGUGAUCACGUGAUCCAAAUUAACUAAACCAUAACCGAUCAUCACGUGAGAUGGAGUAGUUUUCAAUGGUGAACAUCGUUAUGUUGAUCAUAUCUACUAUAUGAUUCACGCUCGACCUUUCGGUCUCCGUGUUCCGAGGCCAUAUCUGUGAAGGAAAUAUGCCCUAGAGGCAAUAAUAAAGUUAUUAUUUAUUUCCUUAUAUCAUGAUAAAUGUUUAUUAUUCAUGCUAGAAUUGUAUUAACCGGAAACAUAAUACAUGUGUGAAUACAUAGACCAACAUAGUGUCACUAGUAUGCCUCUACUUGACUAGCUCGUUAAUCAAAGAUGGUUAUGUUUCCUAACCAUGAACAAAGAGUUGUUAUUUGAUUAACGAGGUCACAUCAUUAGUUGAAUGAUCUGAUUGACAUGACCCAUUCCAUUAGCUUAGCACCCGAUCGUUUAGUAUGUUGCUAUUGCUUUCUUCAUGACUUAUACAUGUUCCUAUAACUAUGAGAUUAUGCAACUCCCGUUUACCGGAGGAACACUUUGGGUACUACCAAACGUCACAACGUAACUGGGUGAUUAUAAAGGAGUACUACAGGUGUCUCCAAUGGUAGAUGUUGGGUUGGCGUAUUUCGAGAUUAGGGUUUGUCACUCCGAUUGUCGGAGAGGUAUCUCUGGGCCCUCUCGGUAAUGCACAUCACAUAAGCCUUGCAAGCACUGCAACUAAUAUGUUAGUUGUGAGAUGAUGUAUUACGGAACGAGUAAAGAGACUUGCCAGUAACGAGAUUGAACUAGGUAUUGGAUACCGACGAUCGAAUCUCGGGCAAGUAACAUACCGAUGACAAAGGGAACAACGUAUGUUGUUAUGCGGUCUGACCGAUAAAGAUCUUCGUAGAAUAUGUAGGAGCCAAUAUGGGCAUCCAGGUCCCGCUAUUGGUUAUUGACCGGAGACGUGUCUCGGUCAUGUCUACAUUGUUCUCGAACCGUAGGGUCCGCACGCUUAACGUUACGAUGACAGUUAUUAUGAGUUUAUGCAUUUUGAUGUACCGAAGGUUGUUCGGAGUCCCAGAUGAGAUCACAGACUUGACGAGGAGUCUCGAAAUGGUCGAGACGUAAAGAUUGAUAUAUUGGAAGCCUAUGUUUGGACAUAGGAAGUGUUCCGGGUGAAAUCGGGAUUUUACCGGAAUACCGGGAGGGUUACCGGAACCCCCCGGGAGACUAAUGGGCCUAUUGGGCCUUAGUGGAAAAAGAGAAAAGGGGCAACCCAUAGCUGGCCGGCGCCCCCCCUUUCCCCAAGUCCUAGUAGGACUAGGAUAAGGGGCCGGCCCCCCCUUCUCUCUCCUUUUCCCCGAGAGUCCUAAUUGGAAUAGGAUUGGAGGGGGGAGUCCUACUCCCGGUGGGAGUAGGACUCCCCCUGCGCCUCCCUCUCCCUGGCCGGCCGCCCCCCCUCCUCCAACCUUUAUAUACGGGGGCAGGGGACACCCCAAGACACACAAGUUGAUCCUUGAGAUCGUUCCUUAGCCGUGUGCGGUGCCCCCUGCCACCAAAUUCCACCUCGAUCAUACCGUUACAGUGCUUAGGCGAAGCCCUGCGUCGGUAGUACAUCAAGAUCGUCACCACGCCGUCGUGCUGACGGAACUCUUCCUCGACGCUUUGCUGGAUCGGAGCCCGAGGAACGUCAUCGAGCUGAACGUGUGCUAAGAACUCGGAGGUGCCGGAGUAACGGUGCUUGGAUCGGUCGGAUCGGAAAGAAGACGUACGACUACUUCCUCUACGUUGUGUGAUCACUUCCGCAGUCGGUCUGCGUUGGUACGUAGACAACACUCUCCCCUCUCGUUGCUGUGCAUCACCAUGAUCUUGUGUGUGCGUAGGAAAAUUUUCGAAAUUACUGCGUUCCCCAACAAUCUGCAUAUGCUAGGCUCGUCAAGUUUAACCUGAGUAUUCUGCGUGUGCAAAAACUGGCUUGCACCCGUUGUAGAUGGACGUAGAGCUUAUCACACUCUAUCAUCACGUGGUGUCUGGGCACGAUGAACUUUGGCAACGGUGCAUACUCAGGGAGAACACUUCUUGAUAAUUUAGUGAGAGAUCAUCUUAUAAUGCUACCGUCAAUCAAAGCAAGAUAAGAUGCAUAAAAAAGAUAAACAUCACAUGCAAUCAAUUCAAUAUAAGUGAUAUGAUAUGGCCAUCAUAUUCUUGUGCUUGUGAUCUCCAUCUCCGAAGCACCGUCAUGAUCACCAUCGUCACCGGCGCGACACCUUGAUCUCCAUCGUAGCAUCGUUGUCGUCUUGCCAAUCUUAUGCUUCCACGACUAUCGCUACCGCUUAGUGAUAAAGUAAAGCAUUACAUCGCGAUUGCAUUGCAUACAAUAAAACGACAACCAUAUGGCUCCUGCCAGUUGCCGAUAACUCGGUUACAAAACAUGAUCAUCUCAUACAAUAAAAUUUAGCAUCAUGUCUUGACCAUAUCACAUCACAACAUGCCCUGCAAAAACAAGUUAGACGUCCUCUACUUUGUUGUUGCAAGUUUUACGUGGCUGCUACGGGCUUAAGCAAGAACCAAUCUCAGCUACGCAUCAAAACCACAAUGAUAGUUUGUCAAAUAGACUCCGUUUUAACCUUCGCAAGGACCGGGCGUAGCCACACUUGGUUCAACUAAAGUUGGAGAAACAGUCACCCGCAAGCCACCUUUGUGCAAAGCACGUCGGGAGAACCGGUCUCGCGUAAGCGUACGCGUAAUGUCGGUCCGGGCCGCUUCAUCCAACAAUACCGCCGAACCAAAGUAUGACAUGCUGGUAGGCAGUAUGACUUAUAUCGCCCACAACUCACUUGUGUUCUACUCGUGCAUAUAACAUCAAACCAUAAAACCUAGGCUCUGAUACCACUGUUGGGGAACGUAGUAAUUUCAAAAAAUUUCCUACGCACACGCAAGAUCAUGGUGAUGCAUAGCAACGAGGGGGAGAGUCUGAUCUACGUACCCUUGUAGAUCGCAACGGAAGCGUUGACACAACGUAGAGGAAGUAGUCGUACGACUUCUUCCCGAUCCGACCGAUCCAAGCACCAUUACUCCGGCACCUCCAAGUUCUUAGCACACGUACAGCUCGAUGACGAUCCCCGGGCUCCGAUCCAGCAAAGCUCCGGGGAGGAGUUCCGUCAGCACGACGGCGUGGUGACGAUCUUAAUGUACUACCGACGCAGGGCUGCGCCUAAGCACUACAACGGUAUUAUCGAGGUGGAAUAUGGUGGCAGGGGGCACCGCACACGGUUAGGAACGAUCUCAAUGAUCAACUUGUGUGUCUAUGGGGUGCCCCCUGCCCCCGUAUAUAAAGGAGCAAGGGAGGAGGGGCGGCCGGCCUAGGAGUGGGCGCGCCAAGGGGAGUCCUACUCCCACCGGGAGUAGGACUCCUUCUUUCCUUGUCCAACUAGGAGAAGGGGGGAAUGGAGGGAAGUGGAGAAGGAAGGGAGAGGUGGGCCGCGCCCCAAAUCCCUUGUCCAAUUCAGACUAGGCUUGGGAGGGGCGCGCGCCACCUCCUGGCUCCUUCCCACUAAAGCCCAUUAAGGCCCAAUACUCUUCCCCGUAUUCCCGUAACUCCCCGGUACCUCCGAAAAUACCCGAAUCACUCGGAACCUUUCCGAUGUCUGAAUUGUAACACCCUCGAUGCGACUAUAUCUCCCACGUGUCGAGGCACGACUUAGAGGCAUAAUCGCAUUGAAGGCAAUGUCGCAAGUGAGGUAAUCUUCACACAACCCAUGUAAUACAAUAGGGGAAAAAGUUACAUAGUUGGCUUACAAUCGCCACUUCACACAAUUACAUGAAUAAAGCAUUACAUCAUUCAAAUACACUCAAGGUCCGACUACGGAACCAAAAUAAAAGAAGAACCCCAAAUGCGACAAAGGUCCCCGAUCGACCCCAACUGGGCACCACUACUGAUCAACUAGAACGAAACAACAUAAAGGACAAGAUCUUCAACGAGCUCCUCCUGAGCUUGGUUGCGUCAUCUGCACGGACUCAUCGGCACCUGCAAACUGGUUUUGGAAGUAAUCUGUGAGCCAUGGGGACUCAGCAAUCUCGCACCCUCGCGAUCAAGACUAUUUAAGCUUAUGGGUAAGGUAAAGGUAUGAGGUGGAGCUGCAGCAAGCGACUAGCAUAUAUGGUGGCUAACAUACGCAAAUGAGAGCGAGAAGAGAAGGCAAGGCACGGUCGAUAAAGUAUGAUCAAGAAGUGAUCAUGGACUACCUACGUCAAGCAUAACUCCAACAACCGUGUUCACUUCCCGGACUCCGCCGGAAAGAGACCAUCACGGUUACACACGCGGUUGAUUCAUUUUAAUUAAGGUCGACUUCAGGUUUUCUACAACCGGACGUUAACAAAUUCCCAUCUGCCCAUAACCGCGAGCACGGCUUUCGAAAGAUCAAAUCCCUGCAGGGGUGUCCCAACUUAGCCCAUUACAAGCUCUCACGGACAACGAAGGAAUAGACCUCCACCCGAGACAUUCCGAUCAGACUCGGUAUCCCAGUACAACAAGACAUUUCGACAGGGUAAAACUAAACCAGCAACACCACCCGAAUGUGCCAACAAAUCCCGAUAGGAGCUGCACAUAUCUCUUUCUCAGGGCACACCGGAUCGUCCAAACUUCCGGUAGGCCAGCCCAGAGUUGCCCCUGGUGGCCACCGGCGGCUGACAGUUUGGACCAACACUCAGAGGAGCACUGGCCCGGGGGGGGGGGGUAAAUAAUGAUGACCCUUGAGUCUGCAGUACCCAAGGGAAAGAAAAAGGCUAGGUGGCAAAUGGUAAAACCAAUGUUGGGCAUUGCUGGAGAAGCUUUACUUAAGGCGAACUUGUAACACCCUCGAUGCGACUAUAUCUCCCACGUGUCGAGGCACGAUUUUGAGGCAUAAUCGCAUUGAAGGCAUAUGUCACAAGUGAGGUAAUCUUCACACAACCCAUGUAAUAUAACAAGGGAAAGAGAUACAUAGUUGGCUUACAACCGCCACUUCACACAAUUACAUGAAUAAAGCAUUACAUCAAUCAAGUACACUCAUGGUCCGACUACGGAACCAAAAUAAAAGAAGAACCCCAAAUGCGACAACGGUCCCCGAUCGACCCCAACUGGGCUCCACUACUGAUCAACUAGCACGAAACAACACAAAGGACAAGAUCUUCAUUGAGCUCCUCCUGAGCUUGGUAGCGUCAUCUGCUCGGUCUCAUCGGCACCUGCAAGCUGGUUUUGGAAGUAUCUGUGAGCCACAGGGACUCAGCAAUCUCGCACCCUCGCGAUCAAGACUAUUUAAGCUUAUGGGUAAGGCAAAGGUAUGAGGUGGAGCUGCAGCAAGCGACUAGCAUAUAUGGUGGCUAACAUACGCAAAUGAGAGCGAGAAGAGAAGGCAAAGCACGGUCGAUAAAAGUACGAUCAAGAAGUGAUCCUGGACUACCUACGUCAAGCAUAACUCCAACAACCGUGUUCACUUCCCGGACUCCGCCGGAAAGAGACCAUCACGGUUACACACGCGGUUGAUUCAUUUUAAUUAAGGUUGACUUUAGGUUUUCUACAACCGGACGUUAACAAAUUCCCAUCUGCCCAUAACCGCGGGCACGGCUUUCGAAAGAUCAAAUCCCUGCAGGGGUGUCCCAACUUAGCCCAUAACAAGCUCUCACGGUCAACGAAGGAAUAGACCUCCACCCGAGACAUUCCGAUCAGACUCGGUAUCCCAGUACAACAAGACAUUUCGACAGGGUAAAACUAAACCAGCAACACCGCCCGAUGCGCCGACAUCCUGAUGGGAGCUGCACAUAUCUCGUUCUCAGGGAAACACCGGAUGAGACAUCCUACGAGUAAAACCAGCCCUCAAGUUUCCCCGAGGUGGCCCUGUAGUCUACUCAGUUCGGANNNNNNNNNNNNNNNNNNNNNNNNNNNNNNNNNNNNNNNNNNNNNNNNNNNNNNNNNNNNNNNNNNNNNNNNNNNNNNNNNNNNNNNNNNNNNNNNNNNNNNNNNNNNNNNNNNNNNNNNNNNNNNNNNNNNNNNNNNNNNNNNNNNNNNNNNNNNNNNNNNNNNNNNNNNNNNNNNNNNNNNNNNNNNNNNNNNNNNNNNNNNNNNNNNNNNNNNNNNNNNNNNNNNNNNNNNNNNNNNNNNAAAGAGGCUAGGUGGCGAAUGGUAAAACCAAUGUUGGGCAUUGCUGGAGAAGCUUUACUUAAGGCGAACUGUCAAGGGGUUCCCAUUAUAGCCCAACCGCGUAAGGGACGCAAAAUCCGGGAACAUAACACCGAUAUGACGGAAACUAGGGCGGCAAGAGUGGAACAAAACACCAGGCAUAAGGCCGAGCCUUCCACCCUUUACCAAGUAUAUAGAUGCAUUAAAUAAAUAAGAUAUAUAGUGAUAUCCCAACAAGUAAAAAAAUGUCCCAACAAGGAACAACAUCUCCAUGUUCCAACAAGGAACAAGCUUCAAUCUUCACCUGCAACUAACAACGCUAUAAGAGGGGCUGAGCAAAGCGGUAACAUAGCCAAUCAACGGUUUGCUAGGACAAAGGUGGGUUAGAGGCUGGACAUGGCAAUUGGGAGGCUGACAAGCAAGUGGUAGGCAUCAUAGCAAUGGCAUAGCAAAAGAGCGAGCAUCUAGCAAAGCAAAGAUAGAAGUGAUUUCGAGGGUAUGAUCAUCUUGCCUGAAAAUCCCGCAAGGAAGAAGAACGAGUCCAUGAAGAAGACAAACGGGCGAAGUCGAACGGAUCCUCACAAACUCGACGUUAUCGGAACCAACCCGAAGAAGCAAACACCGGAAAAGAGCAAACAACAUAGUAAACAACCAACACAUCAACAUGGCAUGAUGCACAAUCGAGUAUGAUGCAUGUCCGGCUUAAAGGGGGCAUGGCAUGGCAAAAUGCACAAACAAUCCUACAAAUUAAGUGGAGCUCAAUAUGCAACGAGUUGCAUAUUGACGAAACACCACAUCAACUAUUUAGUUCGAUCUCGUUAUGUACCCCAACAAUAUUAAAUGUUGAUUAACAUGGCAAGAGGUGAAGCAAAAGAAAACUACCUAUCUAGUCAAGGUUAAAUGAGGCCGGAAGCAACGAACAACAAUUCCGGUAAAUCCCCAUAGCAUAUUUUAGAUUUGGUACUGAUCUGUCCUAAACACAAUUUUAGAGUUAUUAAACAUGCAAAUAAAGGUCACCAUGAUAAACUAGGCAAAAUUCCACCCCAUUUACAUAUAAAGUUUAUUUAAUUCGGAGCUACGGUUAUUUAGUUAUGAAUAAAAUCAUGUUAGCAUGGCAUAGGAGCAAAUUAAUGCAAACAACAUUUUUAAACAUUUUUAAUUGUUGUUAUCAUGAUGCGGAUGACAUGAACAAGUUUAUGCAAAUUUUAUUAAAAGUUGAUAAGAUCAUUAUGAAGCAUUUGUCACCGUGGUGGAAAGAAGAGGGAUGCCACGGUAACGAAUCCGAAAAUGAUGCCAUGGCAACAUAUCGGUUCUGGUAACUCGAUUGAGAUCCCGGUGCAAAAGAAAAUGCGACGGGAGCGUGACACGCAAUAGGAGGUGGGGUGAUCCCGGAUACCGGGUUCCCACAAGAUGGUGGCAAGGCAAAAGAGGGGCAACGUGCACCGAACAACUCCGACACGGAGCAAACACGAGCAUUUCAUACAUCACACAUGCAUUCAUUCACGGCGGUCGUCCCGGGGUUAUACCUUCGAAGCGAGCAUACUCGGAGGGGUUCGGGUUCGUAGAGGAAGUAGGCGUUCUCGCGACGGCGGUAGUAGUUGUUCACGGGGUCGUCGUGGGAAGUAGGGGUACAUGACGACGUAAAGGUACUCGCGACGGUAGUCGUUCACGUUCACGUUACACGGGUCUUCGGCGACGAUUGUCGUACAUGGUUCGGAGUGGUACUUGCGAUGGUAGUGGUACACGUUUCGUAGAUGUUCGAGCGAUAUCGGUAGCGGUACUUGAUGAAUCCCGAAACGGACUUGGCGUCGUCGUGCGUAGGGGUACUUGGCGUUUUCGGAGAUGAUGGUAGAGGAACACGUUUCGAAGGGGUACUUGGGGUCCUCGAACUUGCCGAUCUCGAAGGGGUACUUGACGUCCAAAGCGUUCAUCAGUAGUAGAACUUGGCGGUCUUGACGGUCGUCGUGGUACUUGACGUAAUCCACGCAAACGGUGCCUGUCCAAGCAUCGAUCUUGACGAAGAUGUACUUGACGAGUUACCCGAACGCGUUAGUCCUCGGACUUGGACUCCGGAGAUGGUGUCGUGGUGGUCCUGCAACAAUAGUCUCCGCAAGGGCGUUGGGGAAGGAGAUGGUCGUGACCGAGGACGAAAACAAGGAGCAGCAGCGCGAGGAGGGCCUUGGCGGCGCUGGUCGUCGGCAUCAGGCCGCGUGUGCUCGAGGAGAGGCCGAGGGCGGCUGGAACCGACCAGAGGCGACGCCCUACGGCGCGGGGACGAGGCAGGAGGCGGCUCGGGAGCACGGCGCGGGGACGACGGCUGCAGGCGUGGGCGCGGGCGCUCCUCUCCUCGGGCUCCUGGGCGACGCGGAGAUAGGUGAGGAGGAGGCGCGGCAGGGUGGCUCCGGCCAGGGGCACGGCGCGGGGUGGUUGGCUUGAGUGAGGGGAGAGGGAGAGACCAUGGAUCGGGCGAGAGGAGAGAGGAGCGUGGGCGCGGGCGCUGGUGAUGGGGAUCGAGCGUGAGGAGCUCCUCUCCCUGGCGAAGCGAGGUGGCGACAGAAAAAAAUGGAGGGGGUCGAGGGAGAUGGGGCGCUAGAUCUGGCCUUUGGCGGCGCGAGGGGAGAGGAUGAGGGAGAGAACAAGGGGAUGAGGUCUCCUCGCGCUAGGUUACAGGAGGAGGAGGCCCGGCCUGGUGGGCUGAGAGGAAAAAAUGGGCCGGCCUCGUUGGGCUCCUUCCCUCUCUCUAAUUCUCUUUCACUUCUUUAUUUCUUGAUUUAACAAAUAAACCGAGGAAUAAGAAAUGUAGAGAGAGAUAGGAGAAGAAUUUGAGCAGGGCGCCAAUUUUCUUGGACUCAUAAAAAUGAGGUUGAUCCAAGAAAAAUACAUUUGACACCGUUUGGAAGGAUUGCAUUCGAACACAUUUGAAUGUGAUUCAAAUGAGUUUGAAUUAGGAAAAACAUUUUGGAGAGUCCAAAAAUGUUCGGAAUAUUGGUGGAGCACCGGAAAAUGGAGAAAGGAUAAAAGCAAAGUUUGGGGACCAAACUCGAAGCGAGAAAAGGCAUUGGGAUUUUAUUUUGCAAGUGUGUUCCGGUUAAUUCCAAAAGAAUGGAAUAUUUAUUAUAGCUCCCUAAUAUUGGGAGGAUAUAUUAUAAAGAGAAGUCAUCCUUCCCUCGAUUUAAAUGGAUCGAAGAUCCAUACGAUUUAUUUAGUUGAGAUGCAAAAGACUAUGACAUGAUGACAUGAUGACAUGAUGCAAUGCACAUGAUGACUUUACAUGAUGCAACACGCAAGCACAUGACAACGCAACAACAUCGAAUAACUGCACGACACCUGGCACAUCGGUCUCGGGGCGUUACAACACUCCACCUCUACGAGAGGAUCUCGUCCCGAGAUCUAGAAUGGCACCGGAGGGAAAAGGAAGAGAAAGAGAAGAGGUAAAACAAAUUGCUUCAUUGACAAACGAGUGAAACCACAACCUUGAGAGGUUGAAUACCUUCGAGACAGAAUUCAACGAAGGUGAACAAGGUCGAAAACAGCCAUUUAGAAAAGAGGAAGAAAGCACAUUGCGAAAAACCUUGAGGUUGAAGGGAAGAUAUAUAUUGAAACUACUCCGGUUAAGACAAGAUAGAGAAGGAAUAAGACUUAUAUAAUUUGGACAGCACUCCGGUUGAGAAGGGAUGCAAAAAUUGAUAAGAUGAGAAAGCUCGAAAGAAAACACGACACUCCGGUUGAAUGGAUAAGCAAAGAAAGAAUACUAUCAUGACAAACCAAGAAGAUGGGUUGAAGAGAGCAACAUCACAAGCCUCCGGAACGAAGGGAAACAAGAUCUUGAGAGAGCACGGUUACCACAAAUGCUAGAACGGAGUUGUUGGAAAACCAACAACGAAAAGAAUAAUCUUGAUAUGGUCUUAUAGAAAAAACAUCUCGAAACUAGAGGUGAUAACCUGCCACUCAUGGGAAAAGAAUUGUAUUGAUAUGAACAAGUAGACGAGAAACUAUAUCACCGGGAGGAUAUAUGAAGAACUUGGAUCAUAUACGAGCACAAUUAUCGCAACAAUCCUUAGGGAAGGAUUUAGGUGAAGUAUAACCCAAGAUAAAUCCAUGACGAGAUUGAUGGAUUUAAAAUAUCUCAUUCUUGACAACAUGUGAAUCAUGAAAAAUGAACUCAAAUUAUCAAGAAUGACACAAUACCACCUCCAAUGAUACGGAAGAAAGAAUAAUUACACUCCGGAUUACGAUAUGAAGAAUGCUUGAGCACCUCUGAAAAGAAACUUGAUGAACACUUCAAGAAGGAAUUAAAUCCUUGGUGAACCAUCAUGUAGAACCUCCAUGAAGAACUCCGUUAAACAGAAGAAUGAUCAAACGGAAAGAAAAGGGAAGUUGAAAACACAAGGUGAAACCUUGUAAUGAUUAGAUGGAACUUCGCGACGAGAUAAUGGGGAAAAGCUUGGAACUCCAGAAAAGAAAGAUGAACAAAUGAAAUCAAGAAUUUGAUGAGCCCCCGGAAUAAAGAAUUAAUCACUUGGAUGAACAAGAAUAAGAAUUACAUUAUGCUUAUCCUUCACCAAUUCAAAUUGACGACAACCAAUGGAAUUUGCAUACUACUUAUUCUCGUAGAAAGGAUUAAGAUAGAUAAUGCGCAAACUUGAAGAGGCCUUCAAUGAUCCACCGGUAGGAUUUGAAAGAACGGAAGUAUGAUAACGUAAGAAGAGGAAACUUGAACAAACCACCGUAAGAGUUAAAAUGAACGAAGAAAAGAUAAAGAAACACCGGGAAGAAUUAUAAAAUGAACAGAGAUUGAGAGGAUUUAGAAACAUGAGAACGAAGAGAUCACGAGUCGACUAAAGAUCACUAGAACAAAGGACGGUGAAAAUAGGAGAAUGAUAACUGACAGCUGAGAAUGAAUAAUCCUGAAUUGAUGGACUCCGGAUAACAAAUUGAGAAGACUCUUGCAUUGCUCCGGAUGGGUAAAAGAAUUCUCACGAUCAAAACAAUUAUGAGAGGAUUGCAACAAUCUCGAAUGACAAAACUUGAAGAGAAUGGAGCAAGGUUGAAAGAAGAAUCGUCUUCGGUCUUCCAAACUGAGAAUGACGAUGAGAAAUACCAUCAAGACUUAUUUAGAUACUCCGGAAGAAUCAAAACGAAGAGGUUGAGCCAACGGUGAAAAGAAUUUAACCGAUCUUGGAGAAAGACAUAUGACUGAUGAUAAUUCAUUCUUACGUCAAACUUCAAAAGGGAUUUAGUAUAACUCCGGUGGAAUAAAAAGAGUCAGGUAAGAUCCUGGGAAAGGACCUAUGGGUUAGGGCCCACUCAAAAGAAACACCGUUGAAUGAUUUAAAAGGAGAGAUUGCACUGGUUGAAUAAUAAAAAAAAGGCUUGAAUGAGAUAAGAACCUCGAAAGAGCUUGAACGAAAGUAGAGUGGAAACACGAAUCUUCUGAGAUAUCUUCAGCACUCCGGAACAAAUGAAUAGCGAGAAGUGAAUUAUUAUGAGGAGCACCGGUAUGAGAAAGCAUUGACAUGAGAAAAGGGUAUGAUCAACAAAGCUUGACUUGGAUCCACCGGAGAAGAAAAGAACAAGGAAUGAUAAACUUGAAGCUCCGUUAGAAUAUUCAUGAGAAUCACCGGAUAAGAAUAUUGAUAGAAAAAGAAUCGAGAGACUUGACAUCAAUAAGAAGGAUACUUGAAAAGACAUCUGAGUCCUUGAAGAAAACAAGGGUGGGAGGGUGGGAAAAAAACAAAGGCAACUUGGAGACGGAUGAAACAAACACCGUUGAUAAGAACUAAUAAUUGAUCUUGCGGAAGUUGAAAUGUUCGGAUCCACUAGAAGAGAAGCACACCGGUUAAAAGGAUUGACAAAAACAAUCUUGAUGAACAAGAAGGAUUAGUAUUCACAUCGGAGUAUGAGAACACCAUUUGGGGAAGGUAUGGAAUCAACACUUGACAUUGAAGCAACUCGAAUACCACAACUCAAAACAAAACAAAGGGUUGGCUUGCAAAAUAAGCCGGAACAAACAUAUGAUAGAGAUUUCGUCCGAAGUUUUCGUGGUGGGACCUACACGGGCUCGAUUGUACAGCACCAUCAUGUACAAGGCAGUGCACAUGACAUACGAAGCGUCCCCGAGUCAGCAUAGCCAAGGACUCUUUAAGACCCAACGAGACCACUGUAAAAUCGACCGUGAAUAGGCGAACCACUAGACGUCGAUUGGAGAAGAUAUCCUAAGUCAGCAUAGCCAAGGACUCUUUAAGACCCAAUUUCAUAUCACACAUCUGUCGGAAAGAUAUCCUAAGAGCUACUUGAAUUCCACCUAUGAAACUCCCGAAACUUUCCGGUUAUGCAAUCAGGUGUUGGGGAUACAGGGGAAGCAUAAUAUCUCACCCAAACUAGCAAUACCUACAUCCAGCUGUAUCCAUCCUUCAACACAUAACCAAGACACUACGGUGCAAGUCAUGGCAAGGCAAGCAUAUAUCCAUAAGGAAGGCACAAAAUGCUAGCUAGACAUGGCAAGAACAAUGGCAUAGCAUGCAUGGAUAACUAGCAAUAGCUCCGGCAAAAUCGCAAAAGAGUUCACGAUCUGCCCAAAUUAACAACGAUGCAAAAGUUGAGCUCGAUUGACUCAACCUAGGGUGCUCCAACAUAGCAAGCAAAGACAUGGAUGGAUAGAGCACAACAAGUUUAACAAAUGUCCCUGAAAUCAGCAAUCUCAGGUACCCCUCUUGGCAAGCUUGCAUAAGACACCACACACAUCCUAAAAAUGCAUGGGUGGCACCUCUGGAAAGAAGACAAAAUGCUUAACAAUUCAUCCCAAAGGGUCAUAGGCAUAUCAUGCACACAAUAAUCAUGGCAAAAAUGACAAAAGUCAAUGUUGAGCUAACGGAUCUGCAAUUUAACUCACGAUGCCUCCUUCUAACAGCAUUUUGGGCAUCAAGAUGAACUCAAAUGCAAAUGAUGCAAUGGAAUGAAAUGAUGUACUCAUCGAGACGAAGAUUUUGAUAUAUUAUAUGCCCAAAACGGAGCUACGGAUGCGGAGAUAUGAUCAGACGAACAUGAGCAUAUGGAUCUGGGAAUUCCGGGGACUUAGCCAAAAUUUAUACCUCUCCGGGAAAAGUCAACGGGACGGAGCGGUGCGGGACGGGGUGGAUCCGGAUCGAGAUGACGACAUUUGGAUGAAGGGACCGGUGGAUCUCGUCCCGAUCCAUCGGAUCGGAUCCGGCCGGGAUUUACUCCGGCGAGCUCCGGCGAUGAUGGCGAGGAGCCUCGGUGGCGGAGGCGGGCCGUGCCGCGAAGGGCGGUGGCCGGCAGGGACUCGGCCGGGCGGCGAGCAGGCGCCGGCGAGGNNNNNNNNNNNNNNNNNNNNNNNNNNNNNNNNNNNNNNNNNNNNNNNNNNNNNNNNNNNNNNNNNNNNNNNNNNNNNNNNNNNNNNNNNNNNNNNNNNNNNNNNNNNNNNNNNNNNNNNNNNNNNNNNNNNNNNNNNNNNNNNNNNNNNNNNNNNNNNNNNNNNNNNNNNNNNNNNNNNNNNNNNNNNNNNNNNNNNNNNNNNNNNNNNNNNNNNNNNNNNNNNNNNNNNNNNNNNNNNNNNNNNNNNNNNNNNNNNNNNNNNNNNNCGCGGGCCCGAUCCGGGCCGCGUGGGCCGGCGGCGGGGCUAGAGGAGAGAGAAGGUGGCGGGAUGACGUGGCGGCGGCGGAUUCGCCGGGUACGGCGGUCGGACAUGUCCGGGGCGUGGAGAUUUGUCCGGUGGCGCGAGGUAGGAGAAGCUAGGGUUUCAUCCGCGAUUUUUUUCGGGGAUGCCCACAUAUUUCCUUCGGCAAACGGGAGUUGCAUAAUCUCAUAGUCAUAGGAACAUGUAUAAGUCAUGAAGAAAGUAAUGGCAACAUACUAAACGAUCGGGUGCUAAGCUAAUGGAAUGGGUCAUGUCAAUCAGAUCAUUCAACUAAUGAUGUGACCUCGUUAAUCAAAUAACAACUCUUUGUUCAUGGUUAGGAAACUUAACCAUCUUUGAUUAACGAGCUAGUCUAGUAGAGGCAUACUAGUGACACUCUGUUUGUCUAUGUAUUCACACAUGUAUUAUGUUUCCGGUUAAUUCAAUUCUAGCAUGAAUAAUUGAAGGAAAUAUGCCCUAGAGGCAAUAAUAAAGUUAUUAUUUAUUUCCUUAUAUCAUGAUAAAUGUUUAUUAUUCAUGCUAGAAUUGUAUUAAUCGGAAACAUGAUACAUGUGUGAAUACAUAGACCAACAGAGUGUCACUAGUAUGCCUCUACUUGACUAGCUCGUUAAUCAAAGAUGGUUAUGUUUCCUAACCAUGAACAAAGAGUUGUUAUUUGAUUAACGAGGUCACAUCAUUAGUUGAAUGAUCUGAUUGACAUGACCCAUUCCAUUAGCUUAGCACCCGAUCGUUUAGUAUGUUGCUAUUGCUUUCUUCAUGACUUAUACAUGUUCCUAUAACUAUGAGAUUAUGCAACUCCCGUUUACCGGAGGAACACUUUGGGUACUACCAAACGUCACAACGUAACUGGGUGAUUAUAAAGGAGUACUACAGGUGUCUCCAAUGGUAGAUGUUGGGUUGGCGUAUUUCGAGAUUAGGGUUUGUCACUCCGAUUGUCGGAGAGGUAUCUCUGGGCCCUCUCGGUAAUGCACAUCACAUAAGCCUUGCAAGCACUGCAACUAAUAUGUUAGUUGUGAGAUGAUGUAUUACGGAACGAGUAAAGAGACUUGCCAGUAACGAGAUUGAACUAGGUAUUGGAUACCGACGAUCGAAUCUCGGGCAAGUAACAUACCGAUGACAAAGGGAACAACGUAUGUUGUUAUGCGGUCUGACCGAUAAAGAUCUUCGUAGAAUAUGUAGGAGCCAAUAUGGGCAUCCAGGUCCCGCUAUUGGUUAUUGACCGGAGACGUGUCUCGGUCAUGUCUACAUUGUUCUUGAACCGUAGGGUCCGCACGCUUAACGUUACGAUGACAGUUAUUAUGAGUUUAUGCAUUUUGAUGUACCGAAGGUUGUUCGGAGUCCCAGAUGAGAUCACGGACUUGACGAGGAGUCUCGAAAUGGUCGAGACGUAAAGAUUGAUAUAUUGGAAGCCUAUGUUUGGACAUAGGAAGUGUUCCGGGUGAAAUCGGGAUUUUACCGGAAUACCGGGAGGGUUACCGGAACCCCCCGGGAGACUAAUGGGCCUAUUGGGCCUUAGUGGAAAAAGAGAAAAGGGGCAGCCCAUAGCUGGCCGGCGCCCCCCCUUUCCCCAAGUCCUAGUAGGACUAGGAUAAGGGGCCGGCCCCCCCCUUCUCUCUCCUUUUCCCCGAGAGUCCUAAUUGGAAUAGGAUUGGAGGGGGGAGUCCUACUCCCGAUGGGAGUAGGACUCCCCCUGCGCCUCCCUCUCCCUGGCCGGCCGGCCCCCCCUCCUCCAACCUUUAUAUACGGGGGGAGGGGACACCCCAAGACACACAAGUUGAUCCUUGAGAUCGUUCCUUAGCCGUGUGCGGUGCCCCCUGCCACCAAAUUCCACCUCGAUCAUACCGUUACAGUGCUUAGGCGAAGCCCUGUGUCGGUAGUACAUCAAGAUCGUCACCACGCCGUCGUGCUGACAGAACUCUUCCUCGACGCUUUGCUGGAUCGGAGCCCGAGGAACGUCAUCGAGCUGAACGUGUGCUAAGAACUCGGAGGUGCCGGAGUAACGGUGCUUGGAUCGGUCGGAUCGGAAAGAAGACGUACGACUACUUCCUCUACGUUGUGUGAUCACUUCCGCAGUCGGUCUGCAUUGGUACGUAGACAACACUCUCCCCUCUCGUUGCUGUGCAUCACCAUGAUCUUGCGUGUGCGUAGGAAAUUUUUCGAAAUUACUGCGUUCCCCAACAUUGGCAUCCGAGCCUAGGUUUUAUGGUUUGAUGUUAUUUGCACGAGUAGAACACAAGUGAGUUGUGGGCGAUACAAGUCAUACUGCCUACCAGCAUGUCAUACUUUGGUUCGGCGGUAUUGUUGGGUGAGACGAUCCGGACCAACCUUACACGUACUCUUACGCGAGACCGGUUCCCUCGACGUGCUUUGCACAUAGAUGGCUUGCGGAAGACUGUCUCUCCAACUUUAGUUGAACCAAGUGUGACUACGCCCGGUCCUUGAGAAGGUUAAAACGGAGUCUAUUUGACGAACUAUCGUUGUGGUUUUGAUGCAUAGGUGAGAUGAGUUCUUACUUAAGCCCGUAGCAGCCACGUAAAACUUGCAACAACAAAGUAGAGGACGUCUAACUUGUUUUUGCAGGGCAUGUUGUGAUGUGAUAUGGUCAAGGCAUGAUGCUGAUUUUAUUGUAUGAGAUGAUCAUGUUUUGUAACCGAGUUAUCGGCAACUGGCAGGAGCCAUAUGGUUGUCGCUUUAUUGUAUGCAAUGCAAUCGCGAUGUAAUGCUUUACUUUAUUACUAAACGGUAGUGAUAGUCGUGGAAGCAUAAGAUUGGCGAGACGACAACGAUGCUACGAUGGAGAUCAAGGUGUCGCGCCGGUGAUGAUGGUGAUCAUGACGGUGCUUCGGAGAUGGAGAUCACAAGCACAAGAUGAUGAUGGCCAUAUCAUAUCACUUAUAUUGAUUGCAUGUGAUGUUUAUCCCUUUUUAUGCAUCUUAUCUUGCUUUGAUUGACGGUAGCAUUAUAAGAUGAUCUCUCACUAAAAAUUAUCAAGAAGUGUUCUCCCUGAGUAUGCACCGUUGCCAAAGUUCGUCGUGCCCAGACACCACGUGAUGAUCGGGUGUGAUAAGCUCUACGUCCAAAUACAACGGGUGCAAAACAGUUGCACACGCAGAAUACUCAGGUUAUACUUGACGAGCCAAGCAUAUACAGAUAUGGCCUCGGAACACGGAGACCGAAAGGUCGAGCGUGAAUCAUAUAGUAGAUAUGAUCAACAUAACGAUGUUCACCAUUGAAAACUACUCCAUCUCACGUGAUGAUCGGUUAUGGUUUAGUUGAUUUGGAUCACGUGAUCACUUAGAAGAUUAGAGGGAUGUCUAUCUAAGUGGGAGUUCCUAAGUAAUUUGAUUAACUGAACUUAAACUUAUCAUGAACUUAGUACCUGAUAGUAUCUUGCUUGUUUAUGUUGAUUGUAGAUAGAUGGCUCGUGCUAUUGUUCCGUUGAAUUUUAAUGCGUUCCUUGAGAAAGCAAAGUUGAAAGAUGAUGGUAGCAAUUACACGGACUGGGUCCGUAACCUGAGGAUCAUCCUCAUUGCUGCACAGAAGAAUUACGUCCUGGAAGCACCGCUGGGUGACAGGCCUGCUGCUGGAGCAACGCCAGAUGUUAUGAACGUCUGGCAGAGCAAAGCUGAUGACUACUCGAUAGUUCAGUGUGCCAUGCUUUACGGCUUAGAAUCGGGACUUCAACGACGUUUUGAACGUCAUGGAGCAUAUGAGAUGUUCCAGGAGUUGAAGUUAAUAUUUCAAGCAAAUGCCCGAAUUGGGAGAUAUGAAGUCUCCAAUAAGUUCUAUAGCUGCAAGAUGGAGGAGAACAGUUCUGUCAGUGAGCAUAUACUCAAAAUGUCUGGGUAUAAUAAUCACUUGAUUCAGAUGGGAGUUAAUCUUCCAGAUGACUGCGUCAUUGACAGAAUUCUCCAAUCACUGCCACCAAGCUACAAGAGCUUCGUGAUGAACUAUAAUAUGCAAGGGAUGAACAAGACUAUUCCCGAGCUCUUCGCAAUGCUGAAAGCUGCGGAGGUAGAAAUCAAGAAGGAGCAUCAAGUGUUGAUGAUUAGCAAAACCACUAGUUUCAAGAAAAAGGGCAAAGGGAAGAAGAAGGGAAACUUCAAGAAGAACAGCAAGCAAGUUGCUGCUCAGGAGAAGAAACCCAAGUCUGGACCUAAGCCUGAAACUGAGUGCUUCUACUGCAAGCAGACAGGUCACUGGAAGCGGAACUGCCCCAAGUAUUUGGCGGAUAAGAAGGAUGGCAAAGUGAGCAAAGGUAUAUGUGAUAUACAUGUUAUUGAUGUGUACCUUACUAGAGCUCGCAGUAGCACCUGGGUAUUUGAUACUGGUUCUGUUGCUAAUAUUUGCAACUCGAAACAGGGACUACGGAAUAAGCGGACGCUAGCAAAGGACGAGGUGACGAUGCGCGUGGGAAACGGUUCCAAAGUCGAUGUGAUCGCGGUCGGCACGCUACCUCUACAUCUACCUUCGGGAUUAAUAUUAGACCUAAAUAAUUGUUAUUUGGUGCCAGCGUUGAGCAUGAACAUUAUAUCUGGAUCUUGUUUAAUGCGAGACGGUUAUUCAUUUAAAUCAGAGAAUAAUGGUUGUUCUAUUUAUAUGAGUAAUAUCUUUUAUGGUCAUGCACCUUUGAAGAGUGGUCUAUUCUUGUUGAAUCUCGAAGAUAGUGAUACACAUAUUCAUAAUGUAGAAGCCAAAAGAUGCAAAGUUAAUAAUGAUAGUGCAACUUAUUUGUGGCACUGCCGUUUAGGUCAUAUCGGUGUAAAACGCAUGAAGAAACUCCAUACUGAUGGGCUUUUGGAACCACUUGAUUAUGAAUCACUUGGGACUUGCGAACCGUGCCUCAUAGGCAAGAUGACUAAAACACCGUUCUCCAGUACUAUGGAGAGAGCAACAGAUUUAUUGGAAAUCAUACAUACCGAUGUAUGUGGUCCGAUGAAUAUUGAGGCUCGUGGCGGAUAUCGUUAUUUUCUCACCUUCACAGAUGAUUUAAGCAGAUAUGGGUAUAUCUACUUAAUGAAACAUAAGUCUGAAACAUUUGAAAAGUUCAAAGAAUUUCAGAGUGAGGUUGAAAAUCAUCGUAACAAGAAAAUAAAGUUUCUACGAUCUGAUCGUGGAGGAGAAUAUUUGAGUUACGAGUUUGGUGUACAUUUGAACAAUUGUGGAAUAGUGUCGCAACUCACGCCACCCGGAACACCACAACGUAAUGGUGUGUCCGAACGUCGUAAUCGUACUUUACUAGAUAUGGUGCGAUCUAUGAUGUCUCUUACUGAUUUACCGCUAUCGUUUUGGGGUUAUGCUUUAGAGACGGCCGCAUUCACGUUAAACAGGGCACCAUCAAAAUCCAUUGAGACGACACCUUAUAAACUAUGGUUUGGCAAGAAACCAAAGUUGUCGUUUCUUAAAGUUUGGGGCUGCGAUGCUUAUGUGAAAAAGCUUCAACCUGAUAAGCUCGAACCCAAAUCGGAGAAAUGUGUCUUCAUAGGAUAUCCAAAGGAAACUAUUGGAUACACCUUCUAUCACAGAUCCGAAGGCAAGACUUUUGUUGCUAAAUUCGGAAACUUUCUAGAGAAGGAGUUUCUCUCGAAAGAAGUGAGUGGGAGGAAAGUAGAACUUGACGAGGUAACUGUACCUGCUCCCUUAUUGGAAAAUAGUACAUCACAGAAAACUGUUUCUGCGACACCUAUACCAAUCAGUGAGGAAGCUAAUGAUGAUGAUCAUGAAGCCUCAGAACAAGAUACUACUGAAACACGUAGAUCAACCAGAGUGAGAUCCGCACCAGAGUGGUACGGUAAUCCAGUUCUGGAAGUCAUGAUGCUAGAUCAUGAUGAACCUACGAACUAUGAAGAAGCGAUGGUGAGCCCAGAUUCCGCAAAGUGGCUUGAGGCCAUGAAAUCUGAGAUGGGAUCCAUGUAUGAAAACAAAGUAUGGACUUUGGUUGACUUGCCCGAUGAUCGGCAAGCAAUUGAGAAUAAAUGGAUCUUCAAGAAAAAGACUGACGCCGACGGUAACAUUACUGUCUAUAAAGCUCGACUUGUCGCGAAAGGUUUUCGACAAGUUCAAGGAGUUGACUACGAUGAGACCUUCUCACCCGUAGCGAUGCUUAAGUCCGUCAGAAUUAUGUUAGCAAUUGCCGCAUUUUAUGAUUAUGAAAUAUGGCAGAUGGAUGUCAAAACUGCAUUCCUGAAUGGAUUUCUGGAAGAAGAGUUGUAUAUGAUACAACCAGAAGGUUUUGUCGAUCCAAAGGGAGCUAACAAAGCAUGCAAACUCCAGCGAUCCAUUUAUGGACUGGUGCAAGCAUCUCGGAGUUGGAAUAAACGCUUUGAUAGUGUGAUCAAAGCAUUUGGCUUUAUACAGACUUUUGGAGAAGCCUGUAUUUACAAGAAAGUGAGUGGGAGCUCUGUAGCAUUUCUAAUAUUAUAUGUGGAUGACAUAUUGCUGAUUGGAAAUGAUAUAGAAUUUCUGGAUAGCAUAAAGGGAUACUUGAAUAAAAGUUUUUCGAUGAAAGACCUCGGGGAAGCUGCUUACAUAUUAGGCAUAAAGAUCUAUAGAGAUAGAUCAAAACGCUUAAUUGGACUUUCACAGAGCACAUACCUUGACAAGAUUUUGAAGAAGUUCAAAAUGGAUCAAGCAAAGAAAGGGUUCUUGCCUGUGUUACAAGGUAUGAAGUUGAGUCAGACUCAAUGCCCGACCACUGCAAAAGAUAGAGAGAAAAAGAAAGAUGUUCCCUAUGCUUCAGCCAUAGGCUCUAUCAUGUAUGCAAUGCUGUGUACCAUACCUGAUGUGUGCCUUGCUAUAAGUUUAGCAGGGAGGUACCAAAGUAAUCCAGGAAUGGAUCACUGGACAGCGGUCAAGAACAUCCUGAAAUACCUGAAAAGGACUAAGGAUAUGUUUCUCGUAUAUGGAGGUGACAAAGAGCUCACUGUAAGAGGUUACAUUGAUGCAAGCUUUGACACUGAUCCGGACGAUUCUAAAUCGCAAACCGGAUACAUGCUUACUUUAAACGGUGGAGCUGUCAGUUGGUGCAGUUCUAAACAAAGCGUCGUAGCGGGAUCUACAUGUGAAGCGGAGUACAUAGCUACUUCAGAAGCAGCAAACGAAGGAGUCUGGAUGAAGGAGUUCAUAUCCGAUCUAGGUGUCAUACCUAGUGCAUCGGGUCCAAUGAAAAUCUUCUGUGACAAUACUGGUGCAAUUGCCUUGGCAAAGGAAUCCAGAUUUCACAAAAGGACCAAACACAUCAAGAGACGCUUCAACUCCAUCCGGGAUUUAGUCCAGGUGGGAGACAUAGAGAUUUGCAAGAUACAUACGGAUCUGAACGUUGCAGACCCGUUGACUAAGCCUCUUCCACGAGCAAAACAUGAUCAGCACCAAGGCUCCAUGGGUGUUAGAAUCAUUACAGUGUAAUCUAGAUUAUUGACUGUAGUGCAAGUGGGAGACUGAAGGAAAUAUGCCCUAGAGGCAAUAAUAAAGUUAUUAUUUAUUUCCUUAUAUCAUGAUAAAUGUUUAUUAUUCAUGCUAGAAUUGUAUUAACCGGAAACAUGAUACAUGUGUGAAUACAUAGACCAACAGAGUGUCACUAGUAUGCCUCUACUUGACUAGCUCGUUAAUCAAAGAUGGUUAUGUUUCCUAACCAUGAACAAAGAGUUGUUAUUUGAUUAACGAGGUCACAUCAUUAGUUGAAUGAUCUGAUCGACAUGACCCAUUCCAUUAGCUUAGCACCCGAUCGUUUAGUAUGUUGCUAUUGCUUUCUUCAUGACUUAUACAUGUUCCUAUAACUAUGAGAUUAUGCAACUCCCGUUUACCGGAGGAACACUUUGGGUACUACCAAACGUCACAACGUAACUGGGUGAUUAUAAAGGAGUACUACAGGUGUCUCCAAUGGUAGAUGUUGGGUUGGCGUAUUUCGAGAUUAGGGUUUGUCACUCCGAUUGUCGGAGAGGUAUCUCUGGGCCCUCUCGGUAAUGCACAUCACAUAAGCCUUGCAAGCACUGCAACUAAUAUGUUAGUUGUGAGAUGAUGUAUUACGGAACGAGUAAAGAGACUUGCCAGUAACGAGAUUGAACUAGGUAUUGGAUACCGACGAUCGAAUCUCGGGCAAGUAACAUACCGAUGACAAAGGGAACAACGUAUGUUGUUAUGCGGUCUGACCGAUAAAGAUCUUCGUAGAAUAUGUAGGAGCCAAUAUGGGCAUCCAGGUCCCGCUAUUGGUUAUUGACCGGAGACGUGUCUCGGUCAUGUCUACAUUGUUCUCGAACCGUAGGGUCCGCACGCUUAACGUUACGAUGACAGUUAUUAUGAGUUUAUGCAUUUUGAUGUACCGAAGGUUGUUCGGAGUCCCAGAUGAGAUCACAGACUUGACGAGGAGUCUCGAAAUGGUCGAGACGUAAAGAUUGAUAUAUUGGAAGCCUAUGUUUGGACAUAGGAAGUGUUCCGGGUGAAAUCGGGAUUUUACCGGAAUACCGGGAGGGUUACCGGAACCCCCCGGGAGACUAAUGGGCCUAUUGGGCCUUAGUGGAAAAAGAGAAAAGGGGCANNNNNNNNNNNNNNNNNNNNNNNNNNNNNNNNNNNNNNNNNNNNNNNNNNNNNNNNNNNNNNNNNNNNNNNNNNNNNNNNNNNNNNNNNNNNNNNNNNNNNNNNNNNNNNNNNNNNNNNNNNNNNNNNNNNNNNNNNNNNNNNNNNNNNNNNNNNNNNNNNNNNNNNNNNNNNNNNNNNNNNNNNNNNNNNNNNNNNNNNNNNNNNNNNNNNNNNNNNNNNNNNNNNNNNNNNNNNNNNNNNNNNNNNNNNNNNNNNNNNNNNNNNNNNNNNNNNNNNNNNNNNNNNNNNNNNNNNNNNNNNNNNNNNNNNNNNNNNNNNNNNNNNNNNNNNNNNNNNNNNNNNNNNNNNNNNNNNNNNNNNNNNNNNNNNNNNNNNNNNNNNNNNNNNNNNNNNNNNNNNNNNNNNNNNNNNNNNNNNNNNNNNNNNNNNNNUUUCCCCGAGAGUCCUAAUUGGAAUAGGAUUGGAGGGGGGAGUCCUACUCCCGGUGGGAGUAGGACUCCCCCUGCGCCUCCCUCUCCCUGGCCGGCCGGCCCCCCCUCCUCCAACCUUUAUAUACGGGGGCAAGGGACACCCCAAGACACACAAGUUGAUCCUUGAGAUCGUUCCUUAGCCGUGUGCGGUGCCCCCUGCCACCAAAUUCCACCUCGAUCAUACCGUUACAGUGCUUAGGCGAAGCCCUGCGUCGGUAGUACAUCAAGAUCGUCACCACGCCGUCGUGCUGACGGAACUCUUCCUCGACGCUUUGCUGGAUCGGAGCCCGAGGAACGUCAUCGAGCUGAACAUGUGCUAAGAACUCGGAGGUGCCGGAGUAACGGUGCUUGGAUCGGUCGGAUCGGAAAGAAGACGUACGACUACUUCCUCUACGUUGUGUGAUCGCUUCCGCAGUCAGUCUGCGUUGGUACGUAGACAACACUCUCCCCUCUCGUUGCUGUGCAUCACCAUGAUCUUGAGUGUGCGUAGGAAAAUUUUCGAAAUUACUGCGUUCCCCAACAAUAAUAAACAUUUAUCAUGAUAUAAGGAAAUAAAUAAUAACUUUAUUAUUUCCUCUAGGGCAUAUUUCCUUCAUUCAUCCCAUACCAUUUGAACAGGGCAUGAAUUCUUUUGUAAGUCACAGGAAAACCAGAAUGCCCACCAACUGGAGUAACAUGAAAAGCAUUGCAAAUCUUAGCUUGCAGUUGUACAUCAUUGCCAAUCCAUAUGGAGUUGUUGUACCUGAUUAAUCCAUUAACCAAGAUAUAGGAAGGUUUGGAUGCUGGGUCCACAGCCAAUUGUUGCAACAACUCUUGAGCUUUAGGAUCUUGUUGAGAGCUGUCCACAAUUUCCUGUAACCAAGAGGGCUGAGAAGAAGAGAUGGGCAUGGCUUGAGAGGGAGGAUGAGGUCUCCUGGAUAAAGCAUCUGCAGCAGAGUUAUAUGUGCCCUUUUUGUACAAGAUCUUAUCAUUGAGACCAAGGAGUUUGGUGAACACUUUCUGCUGCCAGGGUGUAUGCAACCUUUGAUCAGAUAAAUGAGUCAGGCUUUUCUGAUCUGUUUUGACCACAAACUCUUGAAAUUGCAAAUAGGGCCUCCACUGUUCCACUGCCAGAAGAAUAGCUAGAUAUUCUUUUUCAUAAACAGAUAAUCCUCUGUUCUUUGGACCUAAGGCUCUACUGACAAAUGCAAGAGGAUGCCCUUUUUGCAUAAGUACUGCUCCUAUACCAGUAUCACAAGCAUCAGUCUCCAAUACAAAUGGCAAGGAGAAAUCAGGGAGGGCCAUGUCAGGUGCUUGUACUAGAGCUUCCUUGAGAGUGACAAAAGCAGUUUUAGCAGCCUGGGUCCACACAAACAAUGUGCCUUUCCUUAAUAGUUCAGUCAAGCGUUUACUAAUCACACCAUAGUUUCUAAUGAAUUUCCUGUAGUACCCAGUGAGGCCCAAAAAACCCCUAAUCUCUUUUACAUUGACAGGAGUGAGCUAGUUCUGAACUGCUAGAAUUUUACAAGGAUCAGUAGAAACCCCUUUGUCACUGAUGACAUGACCCAAAUAAGCAAUUUGCUACUGUGCAAAGGAACACUUGCUCAACUUGACUUUCCAUUGCUUUUCUUGCAAGGUGCUGAGGACCUUUUCCACAUGCAAUAGAUGUUCCUUCAAGGUUUUACUGAAAAUCAGGAUAUCAUCAAAAAUACCAGAACAAAUUCCCUGAGUGCAGGUAGAUCAGAAUUCAUAGCACCUUGGAAUGUACCAGGAGCUUCAGACAGUCCAAAACCCAUGACCAAGAGCUCAUAAUGACCUUAAUGAGUUUGAAAUGCAGUUUUAAACUCUUCACCAGGGGCCAUUCUAAUUUGGUGGUAGCCUGCCCUUAAGUCCAGUUUAGUAAACCAGCAAGCACCAUGCAAUUCAUCCAGUAACUCAUCUAUCAUAGGUAUAGGAUAUUUUCCCUUCACUGUUAUAGCAUUCAAAUGCCUGUAGUCCACUACCAUGCGCCAAGUGCCAUCCUUCUUCUUGACCAUCAGCACAGGAGAGGAAAAGGGGCCACGACUUAGUCUGAUCAUACCAUUUUUCAGUAACUCUUUUACUUGUUUUUCCAUCUCUGUUUUCAAGUGGGGAGCCACUCUAUAAGGUCUGACAGCCACUAGUGUAGCAACCGGUAUAAGUGGUAUAGUAUGGUCAUACUACCUCCUAGGUGGCAGUCCUUUUGGUUCAUCAAAUACAGAAGAAAUUUUUUUCCAACAGUGCUUGUACUUCAGGAAUGUGAGAAUUGGUUUCUUUGUUUUCUGUGUCAGCCAAUUCCACACUCAUAACUGUAAAAGUGCAGUCAUCAGGUAGUACACCUUGUAAUGUGACCCAGUUUCCUUGAGACUGGAAUGAAAACCAUUUUUGAUCCCAAUCUAUCACCAUUAGACUAUGGUUUGAUAGCCAAUCAAGUCCCAAAAUUCCAUCAUAGUUGCCUAACUGAAGAAAUCUGAAGUCUGAUUUGAAUUCAUUAUUCUGACAAGACCAACUACAUUGCUUCACUAUCUGGGAGCAGUACAACUUAGCACCACCUGCUAUCUGGGAGCUAUAUUAUCUACUGUUUUGGACUAUAUUGGGCUUUAUUUUCCACUUUUAUAUUAUUUUUGGGACUAACCUAUUAACCGAAGGCCCAGCCCAGAAUUGUUGUUUUUUUGCCUAUUUCGGUGUUUCGAAGAAACGAAAUAUCAAACGGAGUCCAAACGGAAUAAAAUCUUCGGGAACGUGAUUUUGUCACCGAACGUGAUCCAGGAGACUUGGACCCUGCUCCAAGGAACAAAAGAGGCGGUCACGAGGGUGGGGGGCGCCCCCCUAGGGCGCGCCGUCCUGCCUCGUGGGCCCCUUGUUGCUCCUCCAGCAUACUUCUUCCUCCUGUAUAUACACACGUACCCCAAACGAUCAGAACAGGAGCCAAAAACCUAAUUCCACCGUCGCAACUUUCUGUAUCCACGAGAUCCCAUCUUGGGGCCUGUUCUGGAGCUCCGCCGGAAGAGGGCCGUCAUCACGGAGGGCUUCUACAUCAUGAUAGCCUCUCCGAUGAAGUGUGAGUAGUUUACCUCAGACCUUUGGCUCCAUAGUUAGUAGCUAGAUGGCUUCUUCUCUCUCUUUAAAUCUCAAUACAAAGUUCUCCCCCUCUCUUGUGGAGAUCUAUUCGAUGUAAUCUUCUUUUUGCGGUGUGUUUGUUGAGACCGAUGAAUUGUGGGUUUAUGAUCAAGUCUAUCUAUGAAUAAUAUUUGAAUCUUCUCUGAAUUCUUUUAUGUAUGAUUGGUUAUCUUUGCAAGUCUCUUCGAAUUAUCCGUUUGGUUUGGCCAACUAGAUUGGUAGUUCUUGCCAUGGGAGAAGUGCUUAGCUUUGGGUUCGAUCUUGCGGUGUCCUUACCCAGUGACAGAAGGGGCAGCAAGGCACGUAUUGUAUCGUUUCCAUCGAGGAUAACAAGAUAGGGUUUAUUUCAUAUUGCAUGAAUUUAUCUCUCUACAUCAUGUCAUCUUGCUUAAGGUGUUACUCUGUUUUUAACUUAAUACUCUAGAUGCAUGCUGGAUAGCGGUCGAUGAGUGGAGUAAUAUUAGUAGAUGCAGAAUCGUUUCGAUCUACUUGUCACGGACGUGAUGCCUAUAUACAUGAUCAUGCCUAGAUAUUCUCAUAACUAUGCUCAAUUCUGUCAAUUGCUCAACAGUAAUUUGUUCACCCACCAUAGAAUACUUAUGCUCUUGAGAGAAGCCACUAGUGAAACCUAUGGCCCCCGGGUCUAUUCUCAUCAUAUCAAUGUCCAUCACUUUAAUCUUGCUUUGCUUUUUUACUUUGCAUCUUUAUACCAAAAAUACCAAAAAUAUUAUAUCUAUCAGAUCUCACUCUCGUAAGUGAUCGUGAAGGGAUUGACAACCCGUAAUCGCGUUGGUUGCGAGUAGCUAUCGCUUUGUGCAGGUACGAGGGACUUGAGCGUGGGCUCCUACUGGAUUGAUACCUUGGUUCUCAAAAACUGAGGGAAAUACUUACGCUACUCUGCUGCAUCAUCCCUUCCUCGUCGGGGAAAACCAACGCAAGCUCAAGACGUAGCAAGUCACUAUCAGACGACUCCUGAUAGAAUGAAGCAGUACUUUGGGUGUGUUCAAUCAUCUCCUGCACUAUAUGGAGUUGAACAGAAGAUUUGUAUUGGUGGUCCUUGGACCAUUUCUCUCCACAGGUGAAACAUAACCCCUUUGAUUUCCUGUAGGUGCGCAACGUGAUCCACUUAUCCUCUGAGGAAGCGCCCUUGCCGUUCUCAAUAGGCCUCCUGUCAGCAGCAACUAGAGCUCUCUGAAUUGUCGAAGCUGCUGUCAUUGUCUUCUUGAAUUGAAACGGAGAGGAGUUUGUGUCACUUAAUUCUUCAUGGAGAAAGGCUGUGUCAUAAGCUGUGUCCAGGUCCUGACGUUUCUGCAGAGCAACUGACAUCCUCACACCCGGCUUGAGGCCAUCGAUGAAACAAGUGGUAUAGUACAGACUGUCAGGCACAUCCUCAUAAGCUGAAAGCUGGUCAUAUAGUUCUGUAAAUCGUUCCACAUAAUCUGUCACUGUCGAUUCCUGAGCAAUUCUGAACAUCUGUCUCACCAGGGUCUGAUGUUGAUUGCGACCGAAUCUGUUCAAUAACAGCUGACAGAACUUUGUCCAGGACAAAUUCGGUGAUCUACGCUGUACUGCCUCGAGCCAUCUAGCUGCUGCACCAUCAAACUUGGACGUGGUGAAGGAAAUCCACCUUGCUGCUGGAGUACCCCAUAGCUUGAAACAGUCCUUGCAGCGCGAUUGCCACAGUCGCGGAUUCGAGCCAUCGAAACGCGGUAGUUCCACAACGGGAGCAGAUUGGUACAGGUCAGAGACGUCCGAUGCAGCGAAAUCUCGAGGAGAAAAAAUUUCACGGGGAGAAACGGAAUCACACGCACCUCUGACCGGAGGAGGCACAUAAACCUGAUGCGCCUUCCCCCGGUGAAACUUGUCGAAGCCAAGGGGAUCUGUCGCCGUCGAAUCGCGGCCGCCCCCAACUUCCUUGCUGGUCGACGGGCUCGUCUGCUUGCACAGAAUCUCCUCCUUGCCGCAGCGCUCGAGUUCCACACGGAUUUGUUCAACGUCGAGGUUGAACUCGGAUCUAGCACCGUCGAUUCGCGCCGUGACGAGGCCGUCGAGCGCCAUCGUCGUCUCCUUGAGCAUUUUGCCGACGGACUUGAUGAUCUCCUCGCCGUGCGCCUUGAAGCGUUGAUCCAGCACCUCGGCGAAGGCCGCACGAAGCAGCUCCUGGAUCUCUCACCCCUCGGACGACAGCUUGUCCAUGGCGGCGCUCUGCUGCUGGAGCUUGAAACGCGUGGCGUGGACGUGGCUUGGGAUCUCCAGGAUCAGAAAGCUCCGAUACCAGAUGUAAGGAUCCUGCUACCUCCAUGAACGAGAUCUAGGUUUGAAUUUGGUUUAGCUGUCCUGCCAACCACCCACACAACAAUUCAAAUUACAAAUCACACACACACACGCUUGAGCCAGGCCGAAGCCUCCCGUUCCUUCCUGUCCUUUACUGAUGACGACGGGAAGUAUUUAAACCCUCUCUACCGUUACACCCGCUUAGCGGGCCUAGUCUGGGCUUGCAAGCCAUUGGGGAACCCUCUUGUUACGGAUGGGCCGGCCUGCCGGCCCAUGACUUGAGUUGCUCGCUUCCCGCGUCUCUUCUCGAUCAGCAUCAUCUUCAGUGUUGACGAUCGGGCUGCUGAUAAACAAUCACCGAUAAAAUUGUUGAACAUCUUCGUGGAGUCGAGGAGAUCCGCAUCAGUUGUCUUAUAAUAGAUGUCCUUGGUCAGGAUCUCGAACUCUGCCUCAUAAAUCUUCUGGGUCGCCAUGGCGAGGGCGACGGUCCUGCCGAUCUUGAGGUGGUCGUCGCCUCUCAUGAUGAACCUGAGCUUCAGCAUGCGGAUGGGGAUCCGAGGAGACCUCGUGCUCAGGAUCUUGUCCGCCACGUCGGCCACAUCACAGUUCUUCCAGAGUAGAUCGCCGUCGCUGAGGUCGAUGACGAUCUGCGAGAGCAAGGCCGGCAGGUUGAGCGUUUGCUUGGAGAUGAGGCAGGCCCUGACAGCGUCGAGCGCGCCGACCCUCUCCAAGAUGUUGAGCAGCACAUGGUCGGGCAGUUUGAUUAGCCUGUCGACUUUCAACAGCUGGAUAGAUAGAUUAAUAAGUUAAAUGAUUCAUGCACAAGAAUUUGAGGAGGAACACAAGCAACGGGGGUUUACAUCACGGCGGUGGCGGCGAACCCGGUUGAGCUUCAUGGCGGUCUGAUCUCCAGGAACAACGAAGUGGCAAAUGGUGGCUCAGCUUACAUCGCGGCGGCGGAAAUCGCCUGCACGGUCCUUCCUUAGGUGCGAUGCUCAAGAUUGCAGACGUUUAUAUGGCAGCCUCCUCUGACUUCAACAUUGUCAGUCAGUCCCCACUAUCCUUCUGGCAUUGCAUGUUCUUGGCGCUGUCGGCACCUUGGCGUCUAUCAUGUACGUGCCGCCGGGUCGAGACGCACGCUGCAGGGUAAGACGUAGACAUGUGGAUCUUCGUUUUGUGAACUUCACGUCAUGAUUUGCAAGCAGAGCAUCGGGCUACAGCUGCCGUUCGUGCCGCGCAAGCUCCAGUGGGGAACACAUUGUUCGCUCCGCUGCUGGCGUGCGUGCGCCCCGCUGCCGCGGGCCAGGGGGGCAUGCCCAUUGUCCAUUGAGCAAGGAGAUGGUGAAGGAGAUGAAAGAGUUGUCAGCGAUCGUCGUCGGGCUCGACGGCUCGUCCGCGGCGGCGAUGGUGUGCGGCAUGCAUGGAGUGGGGUGGCGUGUUGCGGGGAUGAGCACGUAGCAGGAGAAGACGUAGGGGAGACGGGUGAUAUGGCAAUACGUGGAUUGUCUGCUUGUUUUUUUAGAUAAAAGAGGCACCGGGAGGAGAAAAUGAUGCGGCCGUUGGAUGGUAAUUGAACGAGUCGGGAGUACGGAUGGGAGCACGACAAGAGAGCAGGCAAGCCCUUCUUGGUCUGUUAUUUUUUUCUUUCUAAAUGCAACUAUUUUUUCUUUCUACAAAGAUAAUUUACGAUCUAUUCAUCAACUGUAAGCUAGUAGUAGUACAAAGAACACUAAAAGGAAAAAAAUACAUCUAGAUUUGUAUAGAUCAUCUAGCGACAAGCUACAAGCAUUGGAGUUGUUAAAAUAAAUCCGAGGCACUCCGUCGAUCAUCCGAGGACUAAGCAAUCACACGAGCACGACACUGAUAUUCGUUAACGAGCUUCAUCGAUAUGGCUACGUCCCCGGAGCCUGACUACGGGCGCUCUUUCCCGUGACACCGUCACAAUACCGCACCCGGUCGCCCUGAACGCCAGCACAUGCCGCCGGCUUCCCCCUGCAUUUUGGUGCUAUUAUGUUGGCAUAGGUUACAUCGUGUGUCUAGCCUCGCUAUAUAUGAGAGGCUUAGGAUACAAGUGUCCUACUAGGACACGACUCCAUAUCCUAUCUAAACACAAUACAACUGCAAGUCCAACUUAACCUACCUUGUACACUAUAUUCGACACAACUUCAACAAACUCCACCUUGGCGAAUAUUCUCCACCACUUUAAAUUCGUCAAUGCAUCAAACUUUCAUGUACAUUGAACUUGAGCUUAUCCCGUGAGUACCGCUGCUACUCCAAAGACUCCAUGUGACUCCACCUGCAACUUGUAGUCCCAUCAUUUCUUGACAACAGUCAACACUCGAGCAAAAUUAAGUUCCUUGUUACUCUAGUUUGUGUUCCUAACUUCCAGAGUAUUCGUCCAACGCCAUCACACACUGAUCACUGACCUGCGUGAAAGUGAAUAACUCACAUAUUGGGUGUCACACAUAAGAGUUACCUGAACUCAACAUCACUGCUCCUUUCUUGACCGUCUGUAUGAAACCUGAAGGAAUUUCACCAUUUUUUGUAGUCAUCCCGAGUCAAAUUCACAGUUGUCUCACCACAUGUAUGACCACCAGAGCCCUGGCCCGUCUCCAUGUCCCAUGCAUACCGCACGCCUCACCGCUAUUAUCGCGUCGAGCCUCCGCUGUCCCGGUCGAGUCUCAAGGGUCGCGAACCCACACCACUCAAGCCCCACUACAAAGUACCACCGAUCAUCACCGACCGAUGAUGAGUUUCAGGCUUCCAUCAGACCACUGGGUUCCAGUCCAAACUACGUGUCACUCGCUUUUCUCCCUUGCCGAAUAGGCUUCGAUUCUCUGGAUCCUUACACCGUAGCCCCUCAAUCCAGCUCCACCUUCAACAUGACUCCAUGGUAGAUGAUCAGUCCACCCUCGCACCUCAUCGACUUCAAGCUCCGUGUAUACACCACCUUGAAUCAAUCCCGCGCCAUAGUCUUGUCGAAGCCACACAAGCCCUCGGGCCUGCGCCACGUGUUUCCACGCCCCAGAAGUCGGUCACUAUCAGCAUCGCGCACCUAUGUCGUCGUCGCCGAUUCCAUCACCGUCUUCUGUACCAACCGACUUGCCGCCGGCUUCCCCCGCGUUCCGGUGCUGUUAUGUUGGCAUAGGUUACAUCGUGUGUCUAGUCCCGCUAUAUAUGAGAGGCCUAGGAUACAAGUGUCCUAUUAGGACACGACUCCAUAUCCUAUCUAAACACAAUACAACUACAAGUCCAACUGUAACCUACCUUGUACACUAUAUUCGACACAACUCCAACAGGAGCGAGCCGAAGGCGCGCCAUCGUCUUUGCCUCUUCCACAUUGAACCCCGACAAACCUUUUUAUAGUAAACAGUCAAAAAGUCAUCGUGCUAAGGCCUCAUAAGGCCAGCCCGCCAGAAUGCAGCAACGCUACCGAUGAAGAGAAGUAUAGAUCGAAAGGAUCUAACCUAUAGACCCAGGCACAUAGAAGAAUAAAGACAUGAUCCACGUGGAUUUCACUGAAGACAAACGCCGCCCGAAUCAUGUGAGAUCUGCCGGAGAGAAAACUUCACACAUCCAACGACGAUACUAGAAACACACCGGGACGGUAACUAUGCGGGGAAAAACUUAUUCCCUUUUCAGAGAGCCGCUGCCGCCUCACCUCUCUAAGCAGAACAUAAACCCUAACAAAACUCAAAAGAUUAUGAAAAAAUCAAGCCCUCCCGCCGGCAAAGGCAAAGAUCCACCGCGCGUACAUUGGCCCUAAGACCACAGAAAAAGGAGGUAGACCAAGGACGGCACUGGCCAGAGGCAUUGUCGAUGUUGCACGAUGCCACGACAACAUCACCAGUGUUGUGGAUGUCACCGUGCAACUUCGCCGACGUUGCCAUUGAUGCCACAAAACAUCGCCUGUGUUGCGGAAGCACCGGGCAACACACAUCACCUUGUAGUUGUAGCACCCGAGCGGAUCGGCUUGUACAACAACUUGGGGCUUGCUACACCGGCAUCCCCUGACCACUCCAUUGCGGCGGCAUUCGGUGGCUCGGUGCCCCCAGCCUGCCAUACCCCAGUGACGGGCAGUACCUCUCCUUGGAGCAGUAGGCGUCUUUUUUUUAGAGUAUUUUUCGGAUGAAGCAGUAGGCGUCUUGCGUAGAGUAGCUGGGGAAGAGUUAACAAAAAUACCACGCAUCAAAAUUGUUCAUAGUAUAUGUUUUCAGCGUGUAUUUUAAAAUUGAUCUUUGUGUUUGAAAAAUAUUUCCUCAUAUAUUUUAAAAAUAGGUUCGCCGUGUACUUGAAAAUGUUCAUCCUGUAUAUGCAAAAUGUUCAUUGUGUCUUAAAAAUACUUCGCCAUGUCUUCAAACUUUUCUUAUGUACUUUAAAAAUGUCCAUCAUGCUUUAAAAAUAUAUUCAUCGUAUAUGCUCAUCGUGUCUUACAAAUGUCCCUUGUAUAUUCAAAAUAUCCAUCAUGUAUUUUAAAAAUGUUCAUCGUGUAUUAGAGAAGUACCAUGCAUCAAAAUUGUUGAUGCUGUAUCUAGAAAAUGUUCAUCGUGCAUUUUAAAAAUGGUCAUGUUGUGCGUGGUGCUGGAAACAAACAAGCACGAAAAAUACGGAGUUUUGUUUACACUUCAGGAUCGCCUUGUGCUUGGGUGCUCCUAUCAUUCUGAAGAAUUCGGUGAAAUCCAUGGAAACGAACAAUUUUUCAAAUUCAUGAAGAUGCCCACAUAUAUAUGUCAGGUUCCGGAUGAAAAUCUUAAGCUAAGACUUCCAGUGCUACUUCGUAUCAUUCAGCAAGCAGUUUAAACCUGUGAACCUGUCGAAACAAAAGAAGCCACUGAUCAAUGCUGGAAAUAAACCUUGCGGCUUCAGAAACUUCAGUUCUGUAGGUUCAGUUUCAGGUGUCGUUUUCUUCAGUUUCGUCAGUUGGCAGAUUUGUUAGUUAGAAGGUUUAGCUCGCAGGCUUGACAACCUGGAGUGGAUGAGGAUGGUGCAUAGUCGCGGCCACUAGCCCCAUUUCCUUUUCUGUAAUCUGCAUAAAUAGAAGAGAAUAAAGAGCAGAAAAGCCGCAGAAGUUUGAGCAGCCCGAAACCUCUUCUUCUACCUCUCGAACUUUUGCUAUGAAACUGAAAUGCAUCCUGAGCCCGCUCAAUAAGAUAGCAUGCCAAGUGAUAUGCCAAAGACUUAGUCAUUAGUCAACGGUAGAAGUAAAAUAAACUGAAGCCACUGAAACUGAAUUCCCUCAAAAAGUAAAUAAAAGCCACUGAAACUGAAGCAGUUCCCCUGGAAAGCAAAGUUUGCAUUCUUAGUACAGUGAGAAGUAAAACUCAUUUCACAAUGAAAACCAGGUUCAAGCAUUUAUCAGGAAUAAGAAAUAUCCACGAUAUCCAUUUGAUAAGAUACUUGACAAUAAUGUUUAGAGUAAACCUUAUCCUCCUCGACUCAGUACGAUCUCAAAAUACACAUAAUUGAAAAGGUUCACUAGUGACAAUUAAUCCAUGAAUCAUACGACAGUUUCUGUAAACUGAAGCUUGCAGUGCAAGAGCAUUAUUAUUUUCAGAAGACUUGCCCCAAACUCGGAAAGUGAAUCCGGACAUGCGAGGGUAUCUCCUUGCUGAAUUCGUAGCUAAGCCAAGACGUCUCCUCAAAUGUCCACUCCUUAAGCAUGUGCUUGCACCUAACACACACUGGACUCUUGUAUAGUCUUAUAUUCUCCAGAUUCACAGCUGCUUCCACGACAUCUCUGGCAAAUCGCACUAGUUUGUCUGCUGCAUGAAACCUCCCAUAGAUACCGAGCUCUGCCAGGUUGUGGUGCUUGAAAUCAGAUGCAGAUGGUUCCCACUCUAGUCCCUUGUCCUUCUCCUUGCAAACCACAGGCAACUCCCUCCGCUUCCCUGUUAUCAUUUCACAUUGAUGAUUCCGCACCUGCAUUCGGUCAGGUCAAAAAAAAAAUUCCUAACUGGUCACACAAAGUUUGAACAUCGAAAAUGAGAAUUGGAGAAUCGGUACAAGAGUUCACCAAGAUGUGUAGUUCCUUAAGGUUGGGUGCGCCAUGGAGUAAGAACAUUGUCCAAGUCAGAUCACACUCUUCAGCAAUGUUAAUCCAAUUCACAAUCCUGAGUUUGUGGAACACCGGUAACAAUUGUCUACGACCUUCCGGUUUGACCCAAAUCUGCAAAAGAUGUAGUAAUGUAGGAUCAUGUUAACCAAAAAAUAAUGAUUACAACCUCCCCACGACAUGGCCAGCAAAACAUAUACACGUCGCUGACAACAUUGAGGACCUUCACUAACCUUUUCGCUUUUGAAGUCCAAAGACAGAUUGCUUAUGGCAGAGUUACCAAGCAACUCACUUAACUUGAGCAUCUUGUGCCAAGUGAAAGCAACAUUAAUGAUGGACACAGUCUGGAGCAGUGGGACAUAGCCAAGACAGAAGGGGUCAUCCCGAGAUCUAAACACAUUAAAUUUCAGUUUUGUGAGCUUUGGUACCCACUUCAGAUCAACCCUCUCAAAACGGCCACAGACAAUCACUAGUUCACUGAGUUGCGGGUGUUCCACUUCCAGCAAAGACUUAAUACCCAUGUCACAUUCGUAGAGGGAGAGGAACUCCAGUUGCUUGCAUAUACUGAAAAUCUUGGGGAAACCUGAUUCUCCUAACCUCAAAUUCUCUAGCGUGAGGCGUGCAAGACCACCAAAUGCGUUUGGACAUGAAUCAAAGAAUGACAUGAAUUGCUUCCCAUAUAUGAGCAGCUCAUUCUUGGUACACUUCUUACGCACCUUCGUCAAGAUUGUAAACUCAGCUGAAUCAACCUUUUGUGUUGCUAUGGCAUUGGCAACAGUCUGGCCAAUUAAAAUGGACUCAUCUCCCAAGUAGAAUUGCAUGCGCAACAGGUGAAUGGGGUACAGACUUCCAGCUCUCCUUUCCAGUAUGCUCCUGGUUGCUUCCAGCACGGUGGUGUUGGCCCGAACUAUAUCAUCUGGGGUUAACUUGCUCCAGUCUUCGUGCUUCGGCUCAAAAGAACCAGCCAAUAUAACAACUUUCGAGAGUAUAGCAGGGAUCUGCUUCCAACGUCUGGAGAGGACGGUGGUUCGUGCGACGUCAACGAUACCAAGUCGCUCGACAAUGUUGAGCAAAACGUCAUCAGGCAACUUGCUGAGCCGAUCAUCUUGACUGUCCUCCUACAUUUGAUAAGGAAACAAAUCAGAGUUGAUUUCUUGUUAGCAUCAUCAUUCAUAGAUGCCUGUGAAGCACGGAUACGGACAAAUCUGCCAUUUCCACGUACAUAAGGCCGCUUAUAGAGAGGAUGAUCCAGCUAGAGCUCAAAGGGUGACAACACCAACACCACCAUGUUCGCCAUCACCGGAGAGGUUUUGCGAUGUCUCGGGACUUGCUGGCCUCCGGCGAAUUCUAGUGACUGCCAGGGAGACCACCGCUUGGCAGGGGCAGAGCUAGCAAUUGACAACAGGAUGGUCCGCCUCAAAAGAAUUGACAACAAAUAUGACAUGUAAAGAUUGUAACUAAUUGCAAAUUACCACAUAGAAAUAGAUUAAUAUGGUCUUACAAACACACUAAUCAGAGGUUGGGGAACUGGAAAAUGGUACCUCAAAUCAGGCUGAGACGAGUGCCGGAGUGAAGACCGGGCGGUGGGCGGCUGCGGCCGGGGCAGGGCAACAGGGUUGCGGCCACGGGUGGUGGCGCGGCGGGCUCCGAGCGACGGGGUUUUUUUUCAUACCUACAUGAAUGUCAUGUCAUCACAAAAAUUUGCAGCAAGCUAAAACUUUCAUCAAUGUUUAUAAAAAAAUCAGAAUUUGUUUACUAUUAUUUUGGAUUUUAUUGUUCAUCAAGGAGCAUGUGAGCUCGGAUUCAAAUACUCCGCGUGCAAGAAAAGUAUACUUUUCCCCCUCAAAUCCAUAUAGAUGGAUCAAAUACCACCCAAAGUCUAAAACCGGUUAAAUCACCCCCAAACUCUGCAAUACCGGAUCCAUAAGCCUCUCAAGUGGUUUUGGGAAGGAUUACAACCGGUUUGACUAUAGGUUGUUGACUUGUCAUUUCACUUGUGCCCCGUGACGCCAUGUUCUUGAUGACCGAGCAUCUCGCCGGGCAAGUAAUGGCUCUGACCAUCCAUCCAGGGUGAGGUUGUUGGCGCUAGUGCCGCGGGGAUUGUACCCGAGUGCGUGGUCACCAGGGCUCAGGAGGUGCCCAAGGUGCGCCCUCACGGUGAUGAUGGUGUCGCUCCUGCCCAGCUCCGACGAGCGCAUCGAGCUGCCUCGCCGCGUCCGCCAUGCACGACAGCAGGAGGACGGCGACGAUGGCCAUGAGGGCGGCUCAGGACCACGACGCAAAACAGAAGUCGACAUCGCCGGCGAGGCAGCAUUUAAUUUUUAAAAACUUGAACAGUUUUUUCAAAACAUAAACAACUUUUGAAAUUGAGAACAUUUUUUGAAACAUGAAAAGAAAUUAAAGCGUGAACUUUCUUUAAAAAAUAUGAAAAAAUAAUUAAAUUGAGCACAUUUUUUGAAAAAAUUGAACACUUUCUGGAAUUAAAAAAACAAACAGUCUUUGAAUUCCAAAAAAAUGAUUUUUUAGAACAUGAACAUUACAAAAACAAACAGUCUUUGAAAUUCCAAAAAAAAUGAUUUUUUAAGAACGUGAACAAAAUUUUGAAGCUUUUGAAAAAAACAAACAUCUUUUAAAAUUUUGAUUUUUUUUAAACAUACAUGAUAUUUUUUGCAAGUUUUAUAAAAAGAAAAGAAAAAACAGUAACAACGAAAAAGAGAAAACUUGGGAAAAACCAUCAAGAAAACAACAGGAAACCAUCAAGAAUUGGGAUCUCUUGCCCGUACCCUAGCUAUUGAGCCGGCCCAUAUGGCUGUCACUGUGCAAAGCAGCGACAUUUUGCCCGGGAGCUCCCAAGGGUGUGUUUGAUAGCAUGUAUGGAACUAGCCUAGUUGUUCUCAUGUCAUACAUGCUGAGUGUAGACAUGCUGAGUCCAUGCAGUUGCUGUUGUUUGGCAGUGAUGUAUGCGUUGAGACAUGCUGAGCUGAGAUUUUGUUUGGUAGCCUGCAUGUGUUUAGACAUGCUGAACAAUUUCAAAUUCUGAAUAUAUUUUUUGAAUGAUGAACAAAAUCGAAAAAAUCUCAACACAAAUUUAAACAUAUUUUGAAAAUUUAAAUAAAAUUUGAUAUUCUAAACUUUUUUGGAAAAUUAAAAUAAAUUUUGAAAUUCUUUUUUUAAUUUGAACAUAUUUGAAAUUACGAGUUUUUUUGAAAAUUUAAAUAAAAUUUGAAAAUUUUAUAAAAAAAAUAAAAUUCUAUUUUUUCAAAAUUCAAACAAAUUUUGAUUUCCUUUUGAAAUUCUGAACAUUUACAAUUUUUUUAGAAAAAAAUGAAAUUUCAAAUAUUUAAUGAAAAUUCAAACAAAUUUUGAAAUUAUGAUUUUUUUGAAAAUUUAAACAAUUUUGAAAUUCAAACUUUUCAUUUUUUCUGAAAUUCUAAGGUUUUUCGAAAAUUUAAACAAAUUUUGAAAUUCUGAUUCUUUUUGAAAAAAUAAACAUAUCUGGACGUGGUCUGGCCGGUGGGGACGAGUGUUAGGCCGGCAUAGCUGCCUCGAUGCACCCUGUCUGGAGUGCAUGAGAUGAGCAUGGCUGAGGGCACUUUUAUGCAUCAGAUGAGCAUAGCUCAGAUGAGCCCAUGCACCCUACCAAACAAGCAAAAGUGGGUCAGAUUAGGAACUUUUGCCCUCAUGCACCCUCCAUGCACCCUACCAAACACACCCUAAGUGACGGCUUAAGCGCCACUUGGAUGAACGGGUGCCCACGCGCCCCUGCUCAUGCGCUGGCCCAGGUAAGGUGAGUGUUGGAUCGAUUCACCCGUUCCCACCCCUGGUCACUCUAGCACUAUUUGACCAGUCGCGGUUGACCAGUUGUCUGAUCAACCUUUAACUUUUUAAAAAUAGGGAAAAAGUAAACAAUGCGGAAAAACACAAAUAAAAUUGAAAAAAAAUGUGAAUUCAAAAAUGUUCACAGACUUUGAAAAAUUUCAUGAAUUUGUAAAAAUAGUUCGUCAAAUUUGAAAGAAAAUUCAUCGAAUUUGCAAAAAGGUCAUCACCAUCUUCACCAACUGAGUCUUUUGUAGGAGUAGAGAUGCGGCUGAGGACACUUGGCGCCAUGCCUUGACUGAAUGUCGGAUGGCCUAGUGUUCAUGGGCGUUGGGAGAUGAAGAAACAUGGAACAUAUGAUCUCUAAUUGUUCGGGCGAUGCCCGGCUAUGUUUGUUCUGUUUGUUUGAACCCAUGAACCAGCAGGAGCUUGCGUGAGUGGUUAUUACCCUAUGGGCCAUCUGGCGGGCUCGAAAGCAGGCAAUUCAGAUGACAAAUUUCAAAGUCCUCUUUCUACAAUGGGUUUCAUCAAUAGUGUAACACCCUCGAUGCGACUAUAUCUCUCACGUGUCGAGGCACGACUUAGAGGCAUAAUCGCAUUGAAGGCAUAUGCCGCAAGUGAGGUAAUCUUCACACAACCCAUGUAAUAUAAUAAGGGAAAGAGAUACAUAGUUGGCUUACAAUCACCACUUCACACAAUUACAUGAAUAAAGCAUUACAUCAACCAAAUACACUCAUGGUCCGACUACGGAACCAAAAUAAAAGAAGAACCCCAAAUGCGACAAAGGUCCCCGAUCGACCCCAACUGGGCUCCACUACUGAUCAACUAGAACGAAACAACACAAAUAAACAAGGUCUUCAACGAGCUCCUCC